rnacentral:lncRNA from 1 species
UAAAAAAAUUAUUUUAUUUCUGUAGUUUUUUAUUUUUAAUUAGUUUACAGAGAGAAUUGCUAUCACUUUUUUUUACUUUAUUUUGAUGAAAAAGUAAAAACAAGAAAAAAGCAAAGAAGAAAAGAAAAUAUAGAAAAGAAAAAGGAAGUGAAAGAAAGGCAAAUAACCCUUAGAGAUUCCACGGUGAGGGGUCAUAUGACCCUUCGGACCCCUUAGUUCCACCUCGGGAUAUUCAUAUACUAUAUUAUAAAUAUUUGUGUCUACUAUUUGAUUAUCAAUUACGAAAUAAGUAUUAGUGAUAAAACAUUUUAAAGAAAUAUAUAAUAAGUGAGACUCUUUUAUUAUAAUUAUUACUAAUUUCAUGUAUUUGAUGUGUUUCGCAAUUAUAAUUCAACCGUAUUAAGAUGAUACAAUACAGAUCAAUGGACUAGGAAAAACAAUUUAUAAGACGCAAAGUACAACCAAUAAAUUCUCUCUCCACUUCUUCAUUCAUAUAUAUAUAUAUAUAUAUAUAUAUAUAUAUAUAUAUAUNNNNNNNNNNNNNNNNNNNNNNNNNNNNNNNNNNNNNNNNNNNNNNNNNNNNNNNNNNNNNNNNNNNNNNNNNNNNNNNNNNNNNNNNNNNNNNNNNNNNNNNNNNNNNNNNNNNNNNNNNNNNNNNNNNNNNNNNNNNNNNNNNNNNNNNNNNNNNNNNNNNNNNNNNNNNNNNNNNNNNNNNNNNNNNNNNNNNNNNNNNNNNNNNNNNNNNNNNNNNNNNNNNNNNNNNNNNNNNNNNNNNNNNNNNNNNNNNNNNNNNNNNNNNNNNNNNNNNNNNNNNNNNNNNNNNNNNNNNNNNNNNNNNNNNNNNNNNNNNAUAUAUGUGAGAUUCCAUCCACAGCAACCGAUUGUUGGGAGCAACCUAUUUUUGGCCAGCCGCUAUAGUCUGUACCGGCCCUUGUAUAAUUUUUUUUUUUUAUAAGCCGCAACAGGCUGUAGCGGCUGCCAAAAAUAGAUUACUCCCAACAACCGGUUGCUGUAGAUGGAAUCUCACAUGUUUAUUAUUUAUGCAUAAAUAUUAAUUCCAUGAGAUUAAUUAAACUCCUACAGGGGUCGGAGGGUCAUGGUGGUUGUUUGCUCCUGUUCCUGGAUAAUCUGUGCUUUCCAAAUCCAUUCUUCCCUCUACAAGUCCUUCCACCACUAACAUCUUUCCUUCUCCCAUUUCCUACAAAAUUUCAAAACAAACAUAAAAUAAGUAAAUAUAUCGUUUGCGUAUUACUUAUAUGCGUGGAUAAAUAUUUUUUUAAAGAAAAAACUAUAUAGUAAAUAUUUUAAUUUUGUUAAAAGAAUGGGAAAAUUAAAGGAAUUACUAAUUCAAUUUGUAGAAGUAAGAAAGUGGAUGUGUACAUGUGGGUAGUACGUAUUACAAAUAAUUGUUAUAAUUGACUUUUUUCUUUAUGAAUUAAUAUUUGUUAUUAUAUGUUUGAAAUAAUUAUCAUUUCAAUUCUUUGUAUCUUAAUUUUUUCAUUUCAUCGUAUCAUCGUAUCGUAUGUAACGCAGACUAACAAUUUAGAGAAUGGUAGAGAAGGUAAACAAAAGUUGACAGCUAAAAGUUAUUGGCUUCUUGCAUAAUGGGGUUGACUUCUCAGUUCGUUAAUUAACCCAAAAAUCUGUGGUUGCAAACUACUACAGUACUACUAUUAUUGCCAAAUUUUUAAUUACCAAUUUGAAGAAUUCCAAAAAAAAUAAAUAGAAAAUACUAGUAGUAAUGUAUUUCACAGAAGUAGGGGUAUUAAUGACAAUAGUGCCAAUUUAUUUAUGGUAAAUGAUGUAAUAAGCCAAAAGAAUAAACUAAACAGAGAGGGAUCGAUAUGAGUUCUUCUAGGGGGACCGUGAUUUUCCGAUCGGGGUAGUAAUUGGUUGGCAUUUUUUUAUUUUUUUAUUUUUUGUUUUUGACUACAAAAUAAUUAAUGUGAUUUAUUAGAACUGAAAUUUUUAUAAAAUGCAGUAAUUUAGGUGUCUUUUUGGAUACACGUAACAAACAGGGUUAUACAGUAUGUACAAUUUUAUUUUUUAUGUGUAUCCAAAUGACACUUAAAUCACUGCAAUUUAUAAAAAUUUCAGUUCUAAUAAAUCACAUUAAUUAUUUUGUAGUCAAAAACAAAAAAAAAUAAAAAUAAAAAAUUUCGGCCGGUCAUUACCGGAGCCGGAAAAUCACGGUCCCCCUAGACUUUCUGGGAUGGGGAUGGAUAUAGAGCACCUGAGCUUGUAAAUCUUGGAGUGCAGGAUUCUCCUUAAUAGAUUUGAGGCUUCCUGUUUAUAUGAGAAAAGAAAAAUAAAAUAAAAGAAAGAAAGAAAGAAAACAUGCACGCACGUAUACCUAUAACAGAAAUAUCUUAUAGUAUAUAUUUACAAGCCAAGAUUCAAACAGAAAUAUAACCCUUACUGGAUGUGGGAACUGUAGAAAUGGAGGCAAUAACAGAAGAGAAUCCCAGAAAGAGCACAAGAAGGUGAAGCAAAGACUUAUUAAUCUUCAUGUUGACAAAUUAAAGCAAAAUAGAUUAUAGAUCUGAAGAAGAAUUAAUUAAUAUAUAUGUUGUAUAGGUUGGUGAUGGGGAGAGAGAGAGCUACAGAAUAUGUGGAUGGAGAAGAUGCAAUCCUUAUAUAUAUAGAGCAGAAUUAUUGAAUAUAGAAAAAAGGUCAAGUACUAUUAAUUAAUUACUAGUAAAAUUUACAAAAAAGUCAACUUCAUUAUUUGAGUUCCAACUUGCCUAACUUUAUCACUAGCUAAUCGGUGUCACUCUCGGUUCAUUAAUGGUAUUAUCUUCUUCCCUGUAUAUAAUUAAUUAAUUGUUUUAAAUGCAGAAGAAAUACAUAGAAGCUAAAGUAGUUCUAGUUGGUAGAUACAUACAGAUGAAGUUCACGCACAAAAUUAAAGAUCACUGGACUGGACCGGUACGGUACUUUUGUCAAGUAGGUCGAUCAUCAUUCAUAAAUUUCCGUGUGUGUGUGAAGUUCUUGCAAGACAUCGUUUAAAACUAACCGUUGAUAUGAACUCAAAAAUAUUACUACUACUCCACUAUUAUUUUCCUUAUAUAAUGUAGCAUAAACGUUUUGAUUUUAUAAACUGUUAUUAUGUGUAUCUAAUGAGAUAGCAAUUAAUUUAAUUUUUUUUCCAAAGAGAGAUAGACGUGUGUAUUUGGCAUUGUGUAGUAACUAUACACGAAGCUACAGGGGUUUCUCUUCAAAGGCAUGGCAAAUUAUCCAAAGCGACAAACGAUGAUUUCACAUCAAACUGUUAAGCUAAAUAUACUAUAUACUAACACCCAUCAGCACCGCCCAAAUGGUAUUGGUUGGUGUGAAGGCCAUGGAUAAACAUUUAUUAGCUACCUACCUUAUCACACCAUUCGGAAUCUUGUCCAUUUCUUUUAUAACUCACCACUUUUGUUUUUACACACAUAAACUCUUGGCUGUGUGUUUAUAUUUUAUUAAUUAAUUUAUCAAUUUAUUUAAAAAUAAAUUUAAUGUUAACCACUAUCCUUCGUUUAUUUUUACUUUACUACCACUUUCUUUAUUUAUAUUUGCCUACUCAACUCAACUCAUUCAUUUCGAAUACUCUUUAUGGAAACAGAGGGAGUACUGUAGACUGUAGUAGCCUCCUUGUUUAUAUCCUCACGGGUGUCCCGAAUCAAAUUAAAGAAUAAAGGCAUAAAUAUGGAAAUUUUUAAUAUUUUUUUAUUUUGAGAUUGUCUUCUCAAUUUUUUUAAUUAGGGAAUAAACUUUUAAUUUGUUUUAUUUUGGAGAUUGUCUUCUCAUUUUUUUAAUUAGAAGAUUAAACUUUUAAUUUUUUUCUACUUUGGGGAUUGUCUUCUCUUUUUUCUUAAUUAGAAGUUUAAACUUUAAAAAAAAAAAUUACUAAUAUUUAUUUCGAUAAUUAUAGAGCGGUACAUGUUGAAUACCUAAUUCAAAGAGUACAAAUACUAGUCAUAUGUAUCAACUCUAAAAUGAAACUAAUAUAUUUAUUUCACAGGAAACAAUUAUGUGAAAUCAUAACAGAAUUCGAAAUACGGAAGCAAACGAACAAAUUUAAAAACAAAAGAGUGUCGCUGAAAGAGUACGCAAUCCGUACCUGAUACUUCCAAACCAUUUAUAGCACACUCCACAAAAUCUUACCCUCAAAUGCCAACGAUAUCAAAUACGAAACGUUAUUCAUCACCUAAACAUAUUCACCUCAAAUUAAAUAUAAUCCAAUUCAAUAAUUCCAAAAUAAUUCAUAAUCUAUUUAAUAUGCCUUUAAUCAUCGCCUUAUAUCAAUUAUUAAUACUCCAAAAUUUAUAUUCCAAAUAUAACUCUUUAAGUUCCUUCCGUCCGAACUAAUUACACAAAUUAAUAAUACUAAAUGUAAGUACAUUUAUAAAAAUAUUUGGUACGACUAUAAAAUAUAAUUACUUAUAAUAUUAAAAUUUAAUUCAUUCCAUAUAAUCUUACAUAUUUAUUUGUAUAACAUCUCUUGUAACUUAUGCAAGUUUUCGUAAACUUUAAUUACUACUGCUAUAUAUAUAUUUUUAUUUAAAAAAAUCAUCAAUUUAUUAUUUUAGGAUCUCCAAAAUCAAUCACAGACUACUCCCUCCGUUCAAUCUGAUUGGAAUAAAGUGAUAAUAAUAAUAAGUACAUCCGUAUAAGUAUUACAUUAAUAAAUAAACUCUCCCAUCUUUAAAGAUCGCUCUUAGUUCUUGAAUUACAAAAGUACUUGCUCAUGAUGAAAAAAACAACAUACUAAAUUUAAUAAUUUAAUAUGGAACCACGUGAUUUAUCCCCACUUUAUAUAAUGUAUAAUAUACUUACUUAUUACUGAUGAAAUUUCCCCACUAGUGAUCAAAAUCUCUAGUCUUUCUUCACCUGAGCCCCCUUUGUAGCUGUUCCCUUUAUCUCCAAAGUAGCCACCUCUUCUUAUUCAGUUUGUAUAAUGAAGUAAUAUUAGGUUUAGCUAUUUAUUAAUUAGGUUUGCCCUAAUAAACUUCUAUUUGGGUUAAAUUAAUAUUAAGGCCCAAAUUUUAACCACAUAAUAUUAUCUAUCACUUAUUAAUAUUUAUUAGCCCACAUAAUUUAAAUAACUAGUUUGACCCAAAUAAAUGACAAGUUCCAAACAAUAUGUUUUAAGAAUAUAAAUUUAAUAUUAUUUUAUUAUUAUUUUUUUUCAGGAUAUUACAGAUCAUGGAUAAGUAUAUAUGUAAUAAACAUUUCUAUUUAUUUUUGCUUUGCAACAAUAAAAAGAAUCUUUUCCUUUGAGUGAAAUUAAGGAGUUGUAAAUUGGAAAUUAAUAACAAAAAAUUGGGGUACAGAGCAUCAAUUAACAUUAAUACAACCAUAAGCAACUUUGUUGAGAAUCUUAUCUCUUUCUGAAUUUCUAUAUAUAUUUAUGGGCUUAAUUCACAGUUAACAAUAGAUAACAUCUAAUUAAGGCUGUAAAAUGAACAAACAGUUCGGGCUCGAUUCGUACUUGUUCGACUAAAAAUUUGAUUUGAGCUCGACUCGAAAUAUAAAUGAUUCAAAUACGAGCAAAUUUUAAAGUUCGAUAAAUUACUCGAACCUUCUCAAAUUAUAAUUUUCUAUUGAUACUCGGAUCAUAUUCGUGCGAAAAGUUCAAACUGUUCGUACUCGAUUCGAGAUCGAGCUCGACUCGAUAGUUAAACAAUUCUUAAUCAAAUUUUAUUUUAUAAUCGAUAAAUUUUGUGAACUAAAUUUAAGUAACUCAAUACUUAAUUAAUUCGACUUAGUUCAUUUAUACUCUUACAUCUAAUUAACUUCUAAGGUUAGACUUUGGGAAGAUGAUUUGCACUACAUUUCUAAGUGUAAAAAGUACCAAAUAAUAGUAGUACAAAUACUUUUCGGAUGUUAACCUCCCAAGAACUUAAUUCUCGAAAAUUAGACAUCACUCUUGAAAAUUAGAUCACAUCGUCUAGCAUUAAUUACGGAUCAUUCUAUCCAUUUGUGUUUGUGUGAGUAAAAGCCAUUUUUGGCUUGCAUAGCCGCAACAACCAACAAUGUUACUAAUAUUUCAUCAACCAACAAUUUGGCAACAACAUUUUUUAUAAAAAAGAUAAUAUUUUUUAAUAAAAAGAUAAAAUUUAUAUAAUAUUUUUUAAAUAAAAAUAUAACAUUUUAUAAAACAAUUUUAUAAAAAAUUUUAUAAAAAUUCAUUAAAAAUGUUAUAUAAAAAAAUUUCGUAACAUUUUUAUAAAUCUGUUUUCGUAACAUUUAUAAUAUAUAUAUAUAUAUAUAUAUAUAUAUAUAUAUUUGAGGGAGAGGAUGAAUAAAAGGUAUGGGGGAAUCCUAAGAUAUUAUAGCAUGCAUUACCUACUUUAUGAAGCAAAUUCAUUAUACGUUUUUAGUGGAAGAUUAUUUGAGGUAGGAGUAACUUUUGCUAUAUAUAUAUAUAUAUAUAUAUAUAUAUAUAUAUAUAUAUAUAUAUAUACAUAGAUUUCUUUCUAUAUAUCAUUAGAAUUGCUAGCAUCCAUGCACAAAUGCAUUUACAAUGAUGAAACAAACUAAGAAACAAUUAAUAAACCAAAUCAAAAUACUAUUCACUAUAUUUCAACUAUAAAAAAGUCAAUAAUAUUAGGAAUGGUAAGAAGAAUUCACAUUUUUUUGACUUAUCAUCCUCGUCGCAAGCAUAUGUAUUUGUGCAAGUUAAGAACUGUUCUUGAAUAUCGUUUGGGGGUGGGGGUAUAUAUACAGAAGGGGAGAGGUUGACCAAAAAUUACUUGGGGGAAGGUAGUACAAAGAGACUUGAUGGAGCAGAAUAUAACAUGGGACUUGGCCUGUGAUAGGGAUCAGUGGCGGAAUGUGAUUCUUAUUUUGAAGGCCGAGUACGGUGUUACUAUAUAUAUAUUUUUUGGGUAUACCUCUUUUGCUUCCUUUGCUUAUUUUAUUUUCUUGAUAGCUUUGGUUGUUUUUUUUUUUAAUAUUCUUUCUAUCUUUCUACUUUUUCACUGUGAUAUGGAAUGGGAUAAAGGUGUGUUGAGUUGAAGAAAUAACAGCUCAUUUUCUUUGAACCUUCAUUUGUUGUGUUGCUGGUAAACUUUUAGUGCAAUUUGAGAUGCUAAAUUCUAGUCAACACCAUUCAGUUCAUACCAUGGGUAAAUAGCUCAUGUUCCUGGGUCUGAUAAAAUAACUUUCUGCAGGGGGUAUGUGUUUGCUGUCAGUGUGCACAGAGUUCAGCUUCUUCUCCAAGUCCUCAGUGUGAAGAGGUUUCAUCAUUCACAGCAACAACAUCAGCAAAACUCAGCUAUUGCUCCAGAGGAAUUAACGCAAUCUGAAAUAAACGAAAUAUGCGACUAUUUUAGCCGUCGAGUUGCAUCAGAGCCCUAUGAUGCUUCUCGUGUUGCGUCUUUUAUUACUCUUCUUACUUUACCUAUUUCAGUUUUGAGAGAGUUUUUGAAGCUUAUAGCAUGGAAGAAAGGAUUAGCUCAAGCACAAGGUGGAGAUAUAUCCCCUGCACAAAAGUCCCGCAUUGAANNNNNNNNNNNNNNNNNNNNNNNNNNNNNNNNNNNNNNNNNNNNNNNNNNNNNNNNNNNNNNNNNNNNNNNNNNNNNNNNNNNNNNNNNNNNNNNNNNNNAUAUAUACAUAGAUUAGUAUGAUCUAAUGAUUAUGAAUCCUUCACUGAAUGUUUCUUUAUUUUUUUUUUAUCUUUAGUUAUGAAAGUGGGUAGAAAGCCGUAAAUGGAAACAAUGCCAUUUAGUGUACAAAAUAAUGCCAUUUAGGAAUUCUAGCGGCAAGAGUGAAAUUGAAUUUAAUCUUGGUCAUUUAAUAUCGAGAUAAAAGUUGAAAUAAUAUUUGUGACAACUGGUUGUCACAAAAUUUAUAUAUAUAUAUAUAUAUGAGUUUCAAUUUACGACAACUGGUUGCUAGAGUCACUAUUCCAACAACCAAUUAACAUCUAAGCUGGUUGAUAUAUAUAGUGGAGUAAUCUUUUUCUUUUUUGUCUUUUCUUCCCGUCAUACUAUAUACUAUAAUUUUACAGUUUUGGAGUAAUUGUUUGUAAUCUUUUAUCAAAAAAAAAAAGAAGAAAAAAGAUCAUUUACAUUGUCUCCUCUUGAAAUUGUCGGGAUGUAUCACUUUUCGUAGCAAAGUUGUCAACCUCACAGCCCCUGCUCCAGGCCUUAAAACACCCAAAUUCUGACUCUGCAAACCCGAACACGUUUGGAUUGCAUUAUCCAUUUGAAAACACCAUCCUCCGUAAGUGAAAUUUCCAGGCCGUCUUCUGAGGAUAUCGCGAUCAAUCUUGUCAAGAACGCGGUUAUUUUGCUUGAAUUUUCUAGCGAAUGGCCGAUUGCUUUGGACCAUUUUCCUAUAAUCUUUGAGACCAAGCGACCUGGGGUGCUGUUUUGGGGGUGUAUCCCAAGAAAUGUGGUGUAGAUCAUGGUUCACGGUAGUGUUCUUGUAGUCGUCGGAGUUGCAUAUAACGGUCUGAAAGUAUCCCUCAGGCGACGACACCAUGUUUGUAUAGUAUAGGAGGAGGGUUCUUGGCAAAUUCUCAUACCCCACUAUCAUGUACUCUGCAAAUGAUCUAGAUAAUAUUGUCCAUGCUGAACCUGCAUUAUUGCAUACAUGCAUGCGCUAGUGUACGUAAACAAAAUAUAUAUAACCACUUUUUUGGGAAUCAAGAAAACCAUUACAAAACUGGUAAUUUAGCCAAAUCAAAUUCAAAUGGAGAACAACAUAUUCAUUUCCAGGCCAACUAUUUUCAAUUGUCGUUACUAUAUAUAUAUUAAAAUUUGUUCUAGGACAUUAUUUGGAAUGAUUACCGGGAACACUGAUUAAAUAGGUACGUGAUACGAAAUCAUAUACAGUAAAAUGCAUAAGUUAUUUAGUUAUCGUACGAUGAUUCAGAACUAUAAUACAUUAUACACAAAAUGCAUACCCAAUACGUAGAAUAUAUGACAUUAAGACUUGUUUGGUAACCCUAGUUUGGAACAGAAACACGUGGUCUCGAAUGGUGAUCGACACUGCUUUCAAAAUGUAUUUUAUUUGACUUUUUUUUAGGAUUGAUUUGUCAAAUUGACUUUUAUAUAUAUAUAUAUAUAUAUAUAUAUAUAUAUAUAUAUAUAUAUAUAUCACGACGAUUUGACUUACCAAAUUCAAAUCCCAAAAUUGAGAGUGGGCCUAGUCAAUACUCAUAUUAGGGUCUUAGGGAUGAUCAUUCAUAUCUUAAAGGAACUUUAAUUAAUUAUUUCAACGAUAUCCAGAGGUAUUUUAGUACAUUAUAUUCUUUCUGACUAGCCGGCCAGAGGUAUUUUAUCACGUUAGGUAAGAAAAAUAAAGCACUGGGCCAUGAACUUUGGUACGUACGUUUCUCUUCAGAACUUCACAUGCACUUGAUCAGAAAUUAAAGAAAACAUAUAUAUAUAUAAAUAGCAUCCAUUCCUAUGGACCAUCAUAUCCUUUUAUAACUAACAUAUAUAUAUAUAUAUAUAUAUAUAUAUAUAUAUAUAUAUAUAUAUAUAAUUUCCAGGGAAAUUGAUGAAUAUUCAUUAUAUAUUUAAAUUUUAAAAGGAGAGAGAGAGAGUGGGGGUGGGGAGAAGAAAAACCUGCAUAAAGCUUGAAAGCUGUUGGGAGGCUUCUUUGCUGAUUUACCCACCAAAUCUCUGAUUUAUUUAGACUAUACAGACCCGGGUCUAUCAUAAUUGGUUUUGCUCUCUUGUUGCUGCAAAUUCAAAUCUCUAUUAAUUACUAAUAUGGUUUUUCAAUGUACAUACCUUAAUUAGUUCGGAAAUAAGAGUUAUUUAAUCGUUUUAAAAUUUUAUUAGCACCAACUUAUAUAUAAUUCUUGCAAUAAUAAAUUUCAGUUUUAAAUUUAAUAUUGAAAAAAAAUUAAGCCUGGCUGAGUCCUUGACAAAGUAAAAAUAAAAAAUAAAAUAAAAUGUCAAACAAGUGAAACACUUGACCUCAUUUCUAGUUUGGGUAUCUUUCAUUUAGAAAUUAUGGGUAUGUUUGUUUGAAGGACUGGAUUAAGUGGGAUUACUAGUUUUCAAGAUUAAUAGUUCCUUAUAUAAGGAUUAUGAAAUUUUGAAAAGUGUUGACACGCAGGUCAUGAGGAGAUAUUUUCGCGUGUCAGUACUGUAUUGAUCAAUUAACCAACUUACAUGAAAUUAACUUCAUGAUAACCGAAUCCAUAAAAAUUCACCCUCCCUCCGAUCUAACCAAUCCGAUCAAGACUAUUUCUUUAACUCCAACUAACCGUCAAACCUAGUAUACGUUAACAGUUCAGUGCCCUGCUCUGAAUUUUUUUCUUCUUUUUUUAAAAAAAAGUAGUUAUAUAUAUAUAUAUAUAUUUGUAGGCUUACAAUUUCCAACCAAGACGGCUGUAAUGCUGUAUAAAAUUGAGAUCUCUUGGCAAUUCAGAGAAUGCAUAAAUCAGAUCUGCAAUUAUGGAAAAUGGGGAGGAAUUAAAAAAAAUUUAAAAUUAAAGAAGAGUGAUGAGAAUUGAGAAAGGUGAGUCCAGAAACAGCAGCGUUAGUGUUACCGUACCAUCUUGAGUUACAAGGGGAUAAUCAGAGGCACUGAGAUUAAUGAACCAAUCCCAAUUUCCAGCCUUUCUCAAAAGAAUAGACAUUGCAUGGAGCGUAGUGGAUAGCAUGGUGGGCCCUCUGUAAGUCACCAAAUUGGGCUUCCCAACUAUCCAAACAUUACCCACCCGACUAAAAACGGGGUGACCAUAGACAAAAUUAGCAAUGUCCAAAUGGUCGGCCCGACAGGCCUCGGAGUCCAUAUGAAUCAAGUAGUAAUUCCCAGGAUGGUACAGAGCAAGCAGGGCCCUUUUGAGCUUCAAAGUAUCGCCUUUGGAUGCAGAAAUCAAGUAGGCAAAGCUAACUGGAUAUGUGGAUUUGGGAAUGUUUAUGGUGAGAUUGUUGAAUGUGGCGACUUGGAUUAUUGGUAUGUAGAGGAGGAGGAGGAGGAGAGAGAAAAUAAGUGAAGUUAGAAUGAAAGAGAUGAUGCAGCUUUUAACCCCCAUUACUUGGAAUAAGCCCAUUUUAGAGAGAGAGAGAGAGAGAGAGAGAGAGAGAGAGAGAAUGGGAUGAAAUGGUUUCCUGGCUGGCUGUAAGAGAAGAAGAGUAGGAGGCUCUUUAAUUCCAGUUUUCCAUAUCAUAGAUAGAUGCCCCAGGCCAUCUUUAGCUUAUUGAUUGCCCUCAAUAAGUUAAAAUACUACUCCCUCUUCUUUUUUUAAUUUUAAAAUUAUAGAUUAUAAAAUGAAAUAUGUUUUUUUAUUAUCUGGGAAAUUGAAAAUAUUUAUAAAGAUUUUUAAGCGAACUUAUAUUAAUUUUCAAUUUAAAAAUAUUUUUAUAAAUAUCAAAAUGAUUUUGCAUUUUAGAACAAGACUUAAAAAUGAACCGUAAUCUAAAUCUAAGGAGUGGUAGAUAGGGAUAUUAACUCUGAUCAAAUGUUAUUUAUGAAGAUGACGAGAAAAUUAUUAUUAUUAUUAUUAUUUUCCCAUACUAUAAANNNNNNNNNNNNNNNNNNNNNNNNNNNNNNNNNNNNNNNNNNNNNNNNNNNNNNNNNNNNNNNNNNNNNNNNNNNNNNNNNNNNNNNNNNNNNNNNNNNNCGAGUAAAAACGGCAAGCAGGGCCCUUUUGAGGUUCAAAGUAUCGCCUUUGGAUGCAGAAAUCAAGUAGGCAAAGCUAACUGGAUAUGUGGAUUUGGGAAUGUUUAUGGUGAGAUUGUUGAAUGUGGAGACUUGGAUUAUUGGUAUGUAGAGGACGAGGAGGAGGAGAGAGAAAAUAAGUGAAGUUAGAGAAAGAGAUGAUGCAGCUUCUAACCCCCAUUACUUGGAAUAAGCCCAUUUUAGAGAGAGAAUGAGAAGAAUGGGAUGAAAUGGUUUCCUGGCUGGCUCGCUGGUUGUAAGAGAAGAAGAAGAGUAGGCUCUUUAAUUCCAGUUUUCCAUUUCAUAGAUAGAUUCCCCAGGCCAUCUUUAGCAUCAAUAAGUUAAAAUAGUACUCCCUCUUCUUUUUUUUUAAUUUUAAAAAAUAUAUAUAUUUUUUGUACUAAUUAGAUAUAUUUUUUAAAUUAUAGAUUAUAAAAUGAAAUAUGUUUUAUUAAUAUUUAGAAAAUGUUAUGUUAUGUUGACCCAACCCACGCUAAAUAGUUACUAUAUAGUAUUAAUUAAAUUUUGAAUAGGUUGGUAAAUAAAAAUACACAAACUCGUUGAAGUCCGUAUACUAUACGCUAGACGCUAGUAGUAUAUAAAUAGUGGAUUACUUUGAAUAUUGGUGUUACGUUUUUUGGUCAAAGUUCAUUAGUGCCACUUUUUUGUCCUUGCUAAACAUAAGACAGAAUCUUAAUACACUAAAAUAUACUACUCCAUAUUCUUAGUACCAACAUGUCGUAGAAAAGUGCACUCAUAAAAUAUUUGCAAAUUAGUGUAAGUAUUUUAAUAAAUUAUAAUUCAGCACUUUCUCUCUCCUCCCUUCUAUUCCGCUCCGCCGAACUCCUUUCCAUAACCAUUGCAGCAGUUUUCCAAAACUUUAUCUUCCAAAACUGUGUAUACACAUACUAACAGACAUUUAUGUAAAGAAGAGAAGUUUAAGAAAAGGACCAGGCCAUGGAAGAGAUUCGAAAUCUUGAGGGUGAGAAAAGCCCCAAACUUCUUGAUUAGCCUUAAAACAUCAUCCUUGGAGUAAUCAGCCAUGGCCAUAAAACACAGUAGAAUGGCUCGUCGUCAAGCUCACAGCUUUUCAGGCAUAAAUAACGGAAGUGAAGAGUGAAGUUUAUUCUCGGUAGGUGAAUAAUGAAUUGAUCGAUCAAAAUCAAAUCAAUGAUGAACUUUCUUUCUCGGUCCUCUUCCAGAGGGGGCGUGCGUUUUACAGUGACGCGACAUGUAGUGUGUACGAAAGUACAACAUGGAAUAUGUUGCCCCUUUGUAUGUUAACUAGCUGUGUCCCAAACAUUGAUCUCUGAUCUCUCUCAUGUCAAAAAGGAAAAGAACAUUGGCAGUCCAAGAAAGGGUGACAAAUCAAUUUAUUCACAGAUCAAACCUCAAAAAAAUGCAGCAUAUCGUGAAGUGAUUUUUUGUCCUUGUCGAGGCGGAGUUUGUCUUCUUUUUUUUUUCUUUUGAUAAUGUUGGUAGUCAAACCUUCGUAUAAAGAUAGUCAAUUCAAUUUUAUUGGGUUAUUAAUUAAUUAGUACAUUCUUAUCCCUUUAAUAUCAAACUCUUUUAACCUUCAUACAACAGCUUCUGAGACUUAUUUGCAAAUAACAAGUGGGCUUUGAAAAGAGUUUGAUAUUUUUAGUCGGCUAAAAGGCAGGUUUUGUUUGAUAAUUUUUUCAAAGUGUAGUUGGUAGCCAAACAUUCAUACCAAGGUAACCAAUUCAGUGUUAUUAGGUUACCAAUUUAUUUUGAAUGUGAUGCAGUUGAUAGCCAAACCUUCAAGCAGUUGGUUGUCAAACUUUUUAUACCAAGAUAACCAAUCUUCCUCCACACCUGCAGUAUGAAUUGGUUACCUUGGUCUAAAAGUUUGGCAACCAACGGCUUGAAGGUUUGACUAUCAACUGCAUCACAUUCAAAAUAAAUUGGUAACUUAAUAAAACCGAAUUGGUUACCUUGGUAUGAAGGAUUGGCUACCCACUGCUUAAAGGUUUGGCUAGCCUUACCCAAAUCUACCCAAUCAAAUUCCUUAACCAACAACCUCACCAUUUCUCUUUCCUCAAAUCCCUUCCCCACCACCCCAUUCUUUCUCUCCUCCACCACCUCCACCACUCCUUCUACCACCUCCACCACUCCUUCCAUCUCCCAACCCACCACCACCUUCGAUUGUUGUACUUCUUCCACUUGUUAUUAUUCUUCUCCUCUGUGGUUUUUUGGUUGAUUUUAGGAUUAGAAUUUGAGUUUUUUCGUCUGGAAUUGAUCUUUUAUUAUGUUACUGAAAAUAUGAACGCCCUGAGAUCUUGUUCCGACCCUUAUUUUGUCUGGGGAAAAGGAGGACGAAAGGCAAGGCUUCUUUUGUAUGAAUGUUUCUGCUUCUUCUCGAUUGAUCCGCUGUUGAAGAUGGUUAUUAUCUAUAAAAGCUUUCAGAUUGUUCUUCUAUGGAGCAUUCGUUUCUGUCUCGAUUUUUGAAUGUUUUGUUUAGUUGGUAACUACCGCAUAAAGUGGAGUAGUUUUCUCCUUAAAUCAAGGUGUUUCUAUUUUUGUUAGUUUGGGUUAUGUGACGUGGAUUGCACUACUAUUGAUAUUAUUAUAUAUUAUUGCACUAUUACUAUAAUUAUUUAAUUGGUGCACUAUUUUUGUAAUAUCUUUUUAUUUGUUGUAUACUUAUGUAAAGGACCCAAGAAAUUAAGUAUUAUCUGAAAAUUAUAAUUUAAAUAUUCUUUGGACCCAAAUCUUGAAGGCCCAAUUUACCAUGAUACGUCUUCGUCUAAAAAUGUAUUUUGAUGACCGAUUGGGUAUAAAAUUGGGAGACAGAUAGGCCCAAGUAAAAUUGGGCUUCUUCUUCUAUAGUUCUAUGUCCAGCAUAGGAUAUCUUCCACAAAUGUACUCAAAAUGACUCUUUUUUAUUUAUUAUUAUUAUUAUUAUUUUUUAAAAAAAUCUAUUAAUUAGAUAUCUUGUUAUUUAAAUUAACUUGUGUGUUUUUCAAAGCAACUUAUGUGCUUAAAUUUUAAUACAUUACAUAGGUUACAGGUUUCCUAAAAUACAAGAUUAGAGAUAUAUUUUGAGAAUCAAUUCGCAAAAUUUUAAAUUUUAAAGUUAGAUAUGAAGUUAUUUAGUUUUAAAUUUUAAUACAAAAUAAUAUAACAAUUGUAAAAACCACAACUAAUUAUUAUAUUUGUUGUUUUUAAAACUUGAAUAAAAUUAUAUUAAUUUUGAGUUUUAAAAUUUCGUAAAUUAAUUUUAAAAAAUCAAAAAUUUACCUCUAAUUUUGGAACGGAGUUAAUAAGUAUUCGGAAUAAGUGUGAUAAAAGUAUUUGUGAAUUUUAUUCAUAUUUUGCUUCUUCAACCUUCUUCCUCUAAUUAUUAAGAAAUAUGUAUUUGUAUAACAUAUUCCUUUUAUAAAAAGACCUUUUCGUAAAAACCUGUUUCUCGGAUAUAUUUUAAUAUUAACAGUCUUUUGUAUUGCGUUAAAUUAGAAGGGCGUAAAUAAACCAGAAAAAGAAAUUAUUAAAUUAAAAGUCAAAAGGGCGCACACACAAACUGCCCUAAUAUGUGUAAAGUAUGACUAAAUUUCAAAUUGCAGCCUAACUUUAACCCUAAACUUUAUUUUAAAUUAAAUGUAUUCAAAAACUUUGAGUUUUAAUACAAUUUGCACCUUUUACACUAAAAUAUUGGGUGCAAAAUAUUUUGAUGUAAAAGGUGCAAAUUAUUUUGAAACUUAAAAUUUAAGGUACAUUUAAAAUAUACUAACAAUUCAAAUUUUAAUUAAUCAGUAUUUUAUCAAAUAUCACCUAAUAUUAUAUUUCUAGUCGAUGUUAGGGGAACAAGUUAGAAAAAGGGAUAAAUCAAUUUUUGGUACUUGUACUAGGACACGAUUUACAAAUUGGUACCCGAAGUGAAAAAAGUUACAAACUGGUGAUUGUACUCGAAAAAUAUUACACUCCGUUAAACAGUAGGGGCACGAAUUACAAUUUGGUACCCGAAGUGAAAAAAGUUACAAACUGAUGAUUGUACUCAAAAAAAUUUGUUAUCUGGUGCUUGUACUUUCCAAUUUUUAAAUAAUCGUUAAAAUUGAUCCAACGAGAGAGACAAACAUACAGAGAGAGAAGCGAAGUCGACGCGAAGAAGAUCCUCGAUAUUUUGUUCCAUCUUUUCUUGCCUCCCACAUUCGCACUAUUGCUCCACAGUGGCACCGAUUUGAGAACUCUGGUGUAAUCCAUUCAUUUGUGUUGCAUGAACUACAAUUUUCUUCCCCGAUUUUAUUUACGAUUCCACUCUAAGACGAGCUCAUCCUUUCAAUUAAACACUGAAAACCCUUUAAUAAGUAUAUGGGAACAAGUAAUCAAUGGAGAAUCGAGACAAGAAGAAUGAGAGAAGGACAGAAGAAAAGAACCCUAAUUUUCAAACAGAAUAAAAAUGAAACUCUAAUGUUUAACGGAGUGUAAUGUUUUUCGAAUACAAUCACCAGUUUGUAACUUUUUUCACUUCGGGUACCAAAUUGUAAGUCGUGUCCCUAAUGUUUAACGGAGUGUAACAUUUUUCGAGUACAAUCACCAGUUUGUAACUUUUUUCACUUCGGGUACCAAAUUGUAAGUCGUGUCCCUAAUGUUUAACGGAGUGUAACAUUUUUCGAGUACAAUCACCAGUUUGUAACUUUUUUCACUUCGGGUACCAAAUUGUAAGUCGUGUCCCUAAUGUUUAACGGAGUGUAACAUUUUUCGAGUACAAUCACCAGUUUGUAACUUUUUUCACUUCGGGUACCAAAUUGUAAGUCGUGUCCCUAAUGUUUAACGGAGUGUAACAUUUUUCGAGUACAAUCACCAGUUUGUAACUUUUUUCACUUCGGGUACCAAAUUGUAAGUCGUGUCCCUAAUGUUUAACGGAGUGUAACAUUUUUCGAGUACAAUCACCAGUUUGUAACUUUUUUCACUUCGGGUACCAAAUUGUAAGUCGUGUCCCUAAUGUUUAACGGAGUGUAACAUUUUUCGAGUACAAUCACCAGUUUGUAACUUUUUUCACUUCGGGUACCAAAUUGUAAGUCGUGUCCCUAAUGUUUAACGGAGUGUAACAUUUUUCGAGUACAAUCACCAGUUUGUAACUUUUUUCACUUCGGGUACCAAAUUGUAAGUCGUGUCCCUAAUGUUUAACGGAGUGUAACAUUUUUCGAGUACAAUCACCAGUUUGUAACUUUUUUCACUUCGGGUACCAAAUUGUAAGUCGUGUCCCUAAUGUUUAACGGAGUGUAACAUUUUUCGAGUACAAUCACCAGUUUGUAACUUUUUUCACUUCGGGUACCAAAUUGUAAGUCGUGUCCCUAAUGUUUAACGGAGUGUAACAUUUUUCGAGUACAAUCACCAGUUUGUAACUUUUUUCACUUCGGGUACCAAAUUGUAAGUCGUGUCCCUAAUGUUUAACGGAGUGUAACAUUUUUCGAGUACAAUCACCAGUUUGUAACUUUUUUCACUUCGGGUACCAAAUUGUAAGUCGUGUCCCUAAUGUUUAACGGAGUGUAACAUUUUUCGAGUAUAAUCACCAGUUUGUAAUUUUUUUCACUUCGAGUACCAAAUAGUAAAUCGUGUUCCAGUACAAAUACCAAAAGUUGAUUUAUCCCGUUAGAAAAAUAAAAUUAUCUUAAUAUAAAUCUUUAAUUUUAGAAACGGCGGAACAGUUUUUAUUUCUAUUUUUUUUCCCUUGUGUGCAUGAUGAGACUUGAGAGGUCCUAUAUUAUUAUUAUUAUUAUUAUUAUUAUUAUUUUUUAAAUAAAAAAGAUGAACUACUUUAGUUAGUUAGUUGUUGAACUGAACCAAACUUUAAAAAGAAACACCACAUCUCCCCUCUAAAGAAACAACUUUUACUUUUUGGCUUUAGUUUAAACACAAACACAUUUUUGGGAAGAACUCAAGUGCAUCACGAGAACCAUUUAGUUAUUAUAAAGCUAAAAUAAAGAGAGAGUCCCUACUCAUCAAGUCACCGCUGCUGACUUGUGUUUAUCUACCCAGUAAGCAUGCCAUAUCAGCAUCAUCACUUCAUUUGAUUGAAGUCAAUAGAAUGAAUGAAUGUAUUAUUCUUAUAUAUAGAUAUAGAAUUACCGAUACAUAAAGAGAGAGACAAAAUAUUCAUAUAAAUAUAUGUCAACAUUUUAUAUACUACACAAGAACUAUAAAAAACUGCAUCAAAAUCACUAUCACCAAUCAAGGACACAUGCAAUUAAACUACAACUCCAAGCAACUCAUAGUCAACAACACAGCUUUCCAUCAAAAAACCCCAUCAAGGUUCUCUCUCUCUCUCUCAAAGUGUAAUCAACUGUUUGGUUUCAAAUGCAGGUACAAGAAUCCAACCUAAACCAGUUUGAGACAAGGGCAUCAAGUAACUUCAUUAAAAAGAUCUUUCAAAAUCUAUUCUUCUUGAACAUUUUCCUAAUUACGGUCUUGGUAAUCUUUCUCACCAUCCGCGGCCUUCUUUCUUCCGCCCAUUUCCACCCACCAAAAUGGUAUCCCCCGCUCCUUUCUUCUACCGCAUGUGCCGGAAUCCUCAGUUUUGCGUGGCAAUUGAUGACCACCUACAACCCUUCAACAACCAUGAGGGCGGCCUUUUGGCUUAGCCCUUUCUUAACAUGCGCGGCUGGAAUUCUAUUCGUCUCCAUUGGCUCCCCCGGAAGUCUAGCAGUAGCAGUAGUGGCUCUAGUUUCAGCAGUGAUACAAUCCCUUUAUUCUUGUUGGGUGAAUCCCCGAUUCAACCAUGCGACUCGAGUUUUAUCAGUCUCGAUUGCAUCCCCUCCUGCUAAAACGACUAUUCUGUGUUUUCUAUCAAUCGUUGCUAGUACUCUCUAUUCGUGUUUCUUGGUUUGUGGGAUUGGAGGAGCCACGGCCACUGGAAGUGGCUUAGACUUCUUGUUCAUCUUGGUAAUCCUACUAAGCCUAACGUGGACCAUGCAUAUUGUCAAGAACACCAUUCAGGUCACCAUCUCUCGGGUCAAAUACAUGCAAUUCGCAUGUGGGAUAGAUAUAGAUACAAAGGUAGCUUUCAAAGAGACACUAGACUAUGCAAUGGGGAGUAUUUGUAUUGGCUCAGCCAUUGUGCCAGUUCUUGGUGUCAUAAGGGGUUCAGCCAAAGCCAUAAUUUUAAUUGCAGGGGAAACAGAUGAGUUCAUGUUCUCAUGUGCUAAUUGCUAUUCCGGAGUUGCUUCCAGACUAGUAGCAUAUGGGAAUCGAUGGGGAUUUGUCCAUGUUGGAGUUUACUGCAAGAGUUUUGUGCAGGCAUCAACCGAUACGUGGGAAAUGUUCAGAAGAGUUGGAUUGGAACCAGUGAUUGAUUCUGAUCUCACCAGUUCAUUUUGCUUCCUCUGCGGACUGGCAGUAGGAUCAGCUUGCACCUUAGUAAGUGGCUCAUGGGCACUAGUGGUUCACAAGAGCUAUGCAACAGAAGUGUCAAUUUACGCUUUCUUAAUAGGUUAUUUCAUGGUAACGGUCAACUAGUACUGAAGAUAAUUAGAGUGUCAAAACUUAAGAAGACAACUAACUUCUUAUUUUUCUAUGUUUUGCAGACUCGGGUAGCUAUGGCAUGGCAACAAGCUUGCGUUUCAGCAUAUUAUGUAGCGUAUUCAGAAAACCCACAGAGCCAACGAUUUGACUCAACUAUCCCAGCACGAAUUCAAGAAAUACAGAGAUCUCAAGUUUAACUGUCUUGUUACCUUAUCAGCCAACAAAUACUCUCAUUUUUAACAUUCAUUCAAUCUGAAUUCUGUAGUUACAGCAGGAGAAACAAUGUAGUAAUAUAUGUGAUAGUGCCGAAAAGCUUUCCAAAUUGUACCAAUUUUCUAUAUUUUCCUAGAUAAAUAAAUUCAUUUUUCUGGAGAUAUAUUUCUAUAUCUACAAUGCUAAUGAUUCUCCAUUAACCCCAAGUGCUUUCGCAUCAAUAGUUGACAUAUAAUUGCUAUCCCUCCCUACUUUCCAAAUAGUCUGGUCCCCAGUUAAACAAAUAUGAUCAAUGGUGAAGAUCAAAUUUACUUGAAUAUCUCAUAAGAUUUGGUAGGUUGAUUUUCAAAGUAGAGACCAAGAUAUUGAUCAUCUCCCAACUAAAAAAAAAAAAGAGAAUGAAAAAGUGAAAGAAAGACGAGGUCAUUUUGCAAAUAACUGUCGUCUUCUUCAGUUCUAAUCUUUCACCACGCAUACAAACAAUACAUGUGUCAACUACCAAAUCAAUGCAUACCUCAACUUUAACAUACUUGGGGUGAAGGGGAUACAGACAAACAACUCGGAUGGGAUAAAAACCUGAUAUUUGUAUACGGAUGUUACAGAAUACAUGGAUACUACACCAUCAUAUAUAGGGAUAAAUUCAAACCUUACGAUUUAAGCAACUCCAACAUGACCUCUACCACCACAAUCCAAACGCAUAAUGUUACCAGUACCACCAGAACCUGCAUGUAAAUGUAAGCAUGUGAAAAUUUCUGUGUCAAAUAUUAAAGAAAAAAGCACAUAUAUAAUUUUUUUUGAUACGUAGAUAAACACUCGUAUAAUUAUACAGAAGCAAAAAUUAUAUAUGUAUAUUCAGUAUGAAACUGAUCAAGAAUUAUGAAGGCAGACAUGUUAAACCCUUUACCAUCUAGAUAAGGAAAGUUAAAGCAUGCAAUCAAAGUUCGUGUCAUUUGAUUUGCUUAAUUUUCUGGCAUAAGAAUAUCAAUAAUGAGUAUUUCUAUAACUGAGUGCAAGAGUGUCUAUAACCUCCUAUGGCAAUAUUUCAUGUUCUGACAAUAUAAUUCUUCGUCUGGUUCUUUAAUCUGGAGCUGUAAAGCAUCUUGCUUUUAUAAGUAGGGCUAUAAUCCAUACAUGGAGAAAUGCAGUUGGAUUAAAGGGCGAAGCCACAUAAAUGUGCAGACAUGCCGAUUUCAUCAAGUACUUGAAAGUUUAUUAAAAAGGAAAGCUAAUGCGUGGAAAUAUGAUUACAUCUGAAUAUAUAUAUAUAUAUAUACACACACACACACACUCACUCCGUCCCAAAAGGAUCAUCAAAGUAUAAUUUGCACACAUAUUAAGAAAAGUAAAAGUAGAGGAAAUAGAGUAAAUAAGUUCUAAAUUUAUCCUUUAGUGGCCCCACAAGAUUAUAUAAAGUGAUGAGUAUUUUUAUUUUUUUUACUAACGGACCUCACUAAAUGACAUAUUUAUCUUUCACUUUAUGUAUUUUAUCUCAUCCUUUUGGAAACAAAAAAAAUUUGUACCUUUAGCCAUCUUUUUUUUGAGGACAGAGGUAUAUAUAUAUAUAUCACUGGAAGUAAAAUUAUCAAUUUUACAAGAAUAAAGAGAUACAUAGAAAGGCCUAAUGGUUUGUAAAUCAUAACCAAGACUAAAAACCAUCACUACAAGAAGAAGAAGAUAAAGUAUGGGAAGUAGGUCAAAGAUGCAGACUGUUCUGAUAAUCAUUACCUGAAAACUUGGGUGCAAACAUAAUGCUUGAUAUGUUUUUGGAUCUGUUUAAAAAGUUUAUACAGGUUUAUGUCUCUUCUAUGGAUGUGAUUUCUGUCUUUCCUUUCUCUAAAUAUUUAUGUGGAAAUAGCAUUUUAACUACAACUGGAAAUAGGAUAUUAAUCCGUAACCCCACUUUUGCUGUCAGAUGCCAGACUAGCACUCGUAAACACUGCUAAAUUACUGUCUGAGGUGGAAUGACAUUCUUGAUCAUAAAUUUCUCUUCAUGAGACAACUCAAAAUGCUCAUAAAUUCCAAGUUAACUUAAUGGAAAAUCACAUUGCAUAUGCCAAUAUGUUUUCUCAUCAACCCUCUAUAUUACAGAAUAGUUACGCGCUAGGCUCACAGAAAAAGGGUACUCAACAGGUUUUUUUAAGAAGUGUAGCAAACAUAAGGCAUAAAUGGUGUUAUGAUGAUCACGGAAAUCACACGUGAAACGUGCUUGAGACCUAGCUAGUUUGAUGUUUAGGUUUAUCCCGAGUCUAAUUUCAUGCUUGCUGUAAGAUAUUAAACAGCUAAUUAUUUUAUGAGGGGUACAGGUAUCUGCUAUUUUUAUAAGUGUCUAUGAACCUAUUUUAAGUCUAUAGCACAACUUUCAAUGUAAUUCCUACCUCAGUACUUCAAGAGAAAAAAGAAACUCUUUCACAGAGCAGAAGCCAUCAUAUAAUCAGAUUCUUCGUCGCCACUUGACCAAAGGAAGUCAUCAAGUUCCAUUCUAAGGACCUUUUCAAAUCUAUGGGAACAGUAUUUUGAAUACAUCUUCUCAAGAGAGAAAAGAAGUUCAAAACAUUGAUCAGUCAUGAUGGAAUAAACAUCUUUUGACUUCAUUUCAACAAAAUUAUUACAUGAUACGUAUCAGCAGGAGAAAGAUAAAGGGGGCAAAUUAGGGAAAAGGAGUUGACUGCAUGAAUAACAACGUAACAAAUGUAAGUCCUGGAUUCGGAAAAGUGAGUUUACCAGCAGCAAACUUUGGCGAUGAUUCCCUGACUCUCCAAUAUAGAGUCCACAUAUAAGCCCGAACCAGAGCAAGUGGCGCAAAGGACAGCACCUUUAGCUUUGCAGUCUGGACACCUCGUAUUGUCUCCAAUGUUCUUUUCGGCCAAUUAUAAACCAAUUGGUUUCUCAAUAAUCUCACAAGGUAUAGCUUUGUCGUAACAAAACAAAGAUUCGAGACUGCUUCUACGUCUAUGUGCAUCCCCUGCUGCAACUUGGAUGGAACCUAUAAGGUGUUAGAACAUAAUGAAUUCUGAUAAAGUAGGUAGAGAAUAAAUACCAUAAUUGAUUUGUUUCAUAAAUUUCUUUACAAACAUAAAUACUUAAAAUAGUAUCAUAGAAUGGUAUUAUGCAUGUGUAAACCAUCUAGUUCUUACCAUUAUCAAAAACUCAAAGACUAGGAAAAAGAAAAUUUUAUUUUCACCAAAAAUAGAACAGUAACUGAUACGAUUUAAAACUACCACCUUUAAACAUCUUAGAUUUCUAUUUCAAUUACAUUGAAACACAACUCCCAGAUUGACUCUCAAUAUGAAAAUAAUCUAGCUUCAGUAUAAACACAAAGCCAGCAUAACACAAGAAUACUUCACGACCUAAUGUCAUUUGUUUUACUCAUUUAAUCAUUGAUACAUCACAGUGGAUCUACGUAUUUUCUUUUGGCCUAUAUUUGAAUGAAAUUCGUACGUCAAGGUUUCUAUAAUCUCCAUAAUGCACUGAUUGGCAUGCAAAACGAGAACUUGAGUUGAAAUUAAUAAUGCAAUCUGAUUCUAUCAAAACUGGAAUUGAGUAGGAAUUUAAUUUGAACCGUUUAUAAGUUUCAUCAAUGCAGCAGCUUGGACCUAAGAAUGGUUUUCCAGCCUUUUGAACAAAUGAACAGUCCGGAACUGGUCGAAGAAUUGCAAUCACAAUUAUGACACUGUUUCCAAGUGAAAAAAUUGAAAUUCAGAUUCCCUAUUACAAUUCUGAGUUCCAUUCUAAUGCCAUCUGUAUAAUUUCAAUGAGCACAUCAAAUUAUUCCUGUAUGAAGAAACAGAUAACGAAGGCAAACUGACCUGAGGCGAACAUGAGCGAGGAACGGCGCCAUUAUCGGAGGUGGCGAGGACUUUGAUACUGGGUUACCGACCGUGAGACUAAAGCAUGAAUUCAUUUGGAUGAAGAAGAAUAAAUAGGUAAAGUAAUUGAUGAAAUCUUCAAUGCACAAUCCAUUUUUAAUCAAACGAUAUGUGUGGAAAUCGAAUACGCGAGUGUUAAAACUCGAAUGAAAUCAAAAGAAAUUUUGUAUCAAGGAUCCAAAGGACCAAAGCUGCUGUUACCUGUUGGACUCAUUGAUAACAGGGACCAUAUUCAAACUCGCGAAAUCAUACCAUUUAUAAAUAGUGCAAACGUAAAAAAAAUGUCCCUGACGUUUCCGAAGUCUCACUUUCACUCAGAAUUAUUUUUUUUAAAGUCAAGCGUGACCCUCCCGGGACAUACCAUCUAGACUACCUCCGCUUACACCUGUACAUUUUUUAAUUUUCUUUCUUUCUUUCUUCUCCCUCUUUUCUCUCUCUCCUUCCGUCUUCAUCUUUUCUCUCUCCCAUCUCAUUCCUUUCCCCCUCAUACCAUGAACACUAUGUUAACCCUUUACAAAACCUUCACCUCACCAUCUCUCCUCCACACAAUUAAUUUAUCAUUCCCUCUCCACCCAAAUUCCAGACGAACCCAGCUCAAUCUACUACGACAAACUAAUCAAUACCGUCGGCCGCGUCAGAGACUUCGUCGCGGUGGGACACUUCCUCUAUAAACAUUGUUGGGACUGUGGUUUACCUAAAGAUAACAGAAAAGGGUGUAAGAGCUUUGAAUUUUGAGAUUUCUUUCAAGUCCAAGUCUGGAGCUUUGCCCACUUUUAUUUUGGUUGAUCAUGGGGGUAAAUACCCUUUCCUAAUUAUUAUUUUUUGUUUUGUUUAAAUUUGCUGCUUUAGUUGAUGUUUGAGGUUGGUUAUUUCAUUAGUUUAAAAAUUAUGAUUAUUUUGCUACUUUAAUUUGAUGUUAUGAGGUAAAUUGGUCAAUUCUAGGAAGUAAUUUUUUUUUUGGUUGGGUGGGUGGGUUGAUUUAUUAGCUAAUUUCUUUGUUUGUGAUGUAAAUUGGUGCUUUUGGAGUUGCUCUUUUGUUAGUUUUGUUUCAUAUAUUCGUUUUGGAGAUAAGAUACCCUUUUUUUUAUUUGUAGCCUUAGGUAAUUUUGCUAUUCCUAUGUUGUAUUUUUACUGCUUUCUUAGUUGAGGUGGAACCUAUUUUGUUUUGAAUUUGAAAAUUGACCCUGCAUUUUUGACGUCAUAUGCAGGUUCUGAUUGUUGUUGUUGUAGUGUAAUCCAAAUGACGCUUGGUAGAAUUCUGGAGGAAUUUUCAUUUGGGCUAAGUAAUUGAUUUUGAUUAUUUAUAUUAAAUAUAUGGGUAAUAAUUAAGGAAGGCGGAGUUGCGAAAAUCUUAGACUAUAUUUAGUCUAUGAAACAGAUUUUGCUUUCCGGCAAUUCAAAAAGAUUAAAUCAAGGAACAAAAAUCUUAUGGACUAUAAUUUUAAUAUUAUUAAAUGCGAGAGAGGAUAGAAGAAAAAGAAGGAGAUGAAGAUCUGUGAAGAAGAAAAUGAAGGAGAAGAAGGUGUGUGAAGAAGAAGGAGAUGAAGAAGACGAAGUGGGAAGAGUCGGCAGCAACCUAUAGAAUUUCAGAACGAAUAGAUACAAUUAUUAGGGUAAUUGAAAAAUCUAUAAAUAUGUCCAAUAAUUCAAUAAAUUUUACAUUUUUCAAUCAAUUAUUCCAACAAUUAGUAAUUGUAAGUAUUUUAUUAAUAAUAAUUUGUAAUUUUAUUAUAUUUGAUUUUUAUUUUUUAUUGAUAAUAUCUCUUUAAUUUAUUUUUUAAUAGAAAAUCAUGGUCCUCCGAUGUAUUAAUUUUUAGAUGAAAAAUCAUGGUCCUCCGAGUUUUUUUAAAUUAAUUGAUUAUUUUAAUCUUUUUAUAUUAUAGUCCACGAGAUAGUCCACAAGAUAGUCCUUCUGCUGAAAGGAUUGAAGACUAUAGGACAUCUUCUAAUGUCAUAUAGACUAAAUAUAAUCUAACAGAUAGUCCAUCUGCCGGAGAUGCUAUAAGAAAAGAGUGAGAAUAGAGACGGAGAGAGUGGGGGGGGGGGUUAUGUGGGUGUGAAUGAGAGAAAAUGGAAGUGAAAGUUUUGGAGGAGAGAGAGAGGGGAGCCCAAAAAGGAGAGAGUAUAUUUCCUAUUUUCAUAUAUGUAUAUAUACACUCUUCAUCACUCUUUUUAAGUUGAACAAAUCUUUUGUCCUCUAAUAAAUUUGGUGCUAUAUUCAUUUAUUUACAGAUUGCUUUUUUGCCCAGAAAGUGUGAAACAGAGGAAGAGAUGGGAAAGAGAAAAAAGAGGAACAAGAAAGGAGAGAAAAGAAUAAAAAAAUUUAUUAAAUUUUAUUUUUGUCACGUGUCAGUCGUUAAUCUCAUCCGUUUGUCUAGCUGGGAUUUUUUUAACGGUAUGGGUACUGUUGACCUUAAAUUUGUAACGUUAAGUGUACUUUUGAAGAAAAAAAAGUUCAGAAUGAAAGUACGAUUUCGGAAAAACGUCAGGAUCAUUUUUGGAUGAUUUUUUGUUCUAACUAUUUUCAACGAUAUAAAAAAUUAUUAAUUAAACGUAUUUUUUAUUUAUUUUAUAUACUAAUUAUAAAAUAUAUAUAUUUUUAAUUUAAAAUUAACUUAUCACUAUUUAUUUUGCUUUAAAACGAAUGACUACAUAUCACAUACAACAAUUGUCGAAUACUCACAACUUAUCACUAUUUAUUUAAGUUUGAAAAUGUCUCAAGUUGAUUUUUAAAAUUCAAUAACGAUCUUAUAAUUUGAAAUGGAAGAAGUAGUAUCUAUAAACUCAAAUUUAUAGUACAAACAAAUAGAAAAGAAGGCAAUUAUCAUUGCGAAAGACACACACACACACAGUGUGUUUGAGUAUUUUGAGAAAUUAAAGAUUCUUAAUUGUAUUUAAUUUUCAAACUCCUAAGGAAAGUGUUAAGAUGUGAUUCAAUUUCAUUUCUUCUAGCACUAGAGCAUAAAUUCUCCAUUGUUAAUCUUUAUUCAGCCUAUACUUAUUCUCACACCGGAACUAUCAUCCGGUGGCUCAAACCAUCAAACUUUUGGUGUGACCUUGUUUCUGUGUCUGACCUCGUUUUUGUGCAGAAUUUGAUGCGCUUUGGUGAUUGGAGCGUGUGGACGAAUAUUGAUGUUAACAUUCCUCAAGAACAGAAAAAGAAAAAACACAAAUUAAACAAGUGCAUGGAAUAUAUAGAGUAAUUAAUAAUUUUGUUCAUAAUUUUUUGUUUAUGGUAUUUGUUAUAGUAAAUAUUACAUUAUGUUUAUUGAAAUAAAUAAAUAAAUAAUAGAUGAUAAAAAUGAUGAAUGUAAAUUUUAUUAAAGCAAUAGAAAUAAAAACUAUAAACUCGCAUAUAGAAUUCAUUGAUGAGUGUACAAUUCAUGAAAUCUAAAUCCGAGUUGCUUUAUGGGCCAGAUUGAAGGUAAAGCAGUAGCAAAGGAACAACCAAUUAGGUGGCCAAAUUGAACAUAUUCGUAGUCUGAUUGAACCUUAUUUGGCCUCUUGCUACCACCACCGGUAACUAGAAUUCUUGUCACACGUGCUGUAUUGAAUUGAAUGCAUUUAGAUAAGUAGUGGCAACCGAUGAAUGUUAAUGGACCACACACACACACACACUAGUUCUAGUUCUAGUUAGUCUCACACACCACCUUUCACUCAUUUACAUAUCCAUCAUCAUAGGCUAAAAAACACUCGGAGACAGAAAACGACGCAUACCCACAAGAAGGGGCCCUUGUUACCGAUGGGCGAUGACAUCAAUUAUUUUUUUGGAUGGUUGAACUUGAGGUAAUACAAUUUAAUUAUUUAUUUUAUUUAUUUUUUUGGGGUUAAUAAAAAGUAAAUAAUCAAUAUUGUUAAAUCAUAAGUCAUGAGUUAUAAAUAAUUUUAAUAUCAUAUAUUUAAUUUAAUUGAAGAGAAAAGGGUGAAAUCAAAUCAAGAAAAGAAAAGGGUCCCCGUUGAGUUGAGAUGAAGCACAGUGAUGCACUUGGCUCCUACAAUUUUCACCAGAAAAUUAAAGGUAUGAUGUAUAUGCGUUGCAUCAAGACUUGAAAGGAACUCAACAACCAUACCAUGUUUUAGUCCGAUAUAUCUAAUGACGGAUCAUGAAAUUAACUUUAUAGUAAGUUGGUCAAUUGACUAAUACAGUGCUGACACGCAAGGAAAAUAUCACAUCCUGGCCUGCGUGUUGACACUAUAUAAGUCAAUUGAUCAAAUUUAACUUCAUGUUAACCACUUUCCCUAACGAAAGUUUGGAAUAUACAUGUAUUAUUAUAUUGUUAUCAAAACAACAACUAGAAAGUUUAAAAUUAUUUUUCUGGUUUAUAAGUCGUCGCGGUUGCUCAUGCACAAGCUGCAGAGCAUUUCAAGUUGAACAUCAAUUUGUCGUACGUAAUCACCAUCAACCACUAAAUUAUCAUACUCCUUUUAUCAGGCCAUCGGAUAGUCAAUUAUCAUACUAUUGGCACUGCCACUCAUAAUCUGUAUGUAUAAAUAAAUAAGAUCUACUCAUUUUACAUCAUCUAUUAUGUAAUUUGAAUUGGGUGGGACAGAACUAACUAAUUUAAGAUAAGCAUGCUAUCACUUGCCAAACAAAUACUAACAUAAAAUGAAAUUUUACAGGUUGGAAGAAAGAAAAAAGCACUUAUCUUGGGAACGAACCAACCAAGGAAUUAUUAACUUAAAGAGUUCUGAAGAUUCAGUAAUCCAAGAGCUCCGGCAAGCUUUAGAAAUAUAAAGCACAAGUAUAUGGCCAAUAGGCCACAUCCAAGAUACCGGUCCGGCCGCAUAUUUUUAUUAGGCAACACCGCUAGUGCCCAAAGUAAGCCACCCAUCAAGAACCCUAUAGUUUCGUAUAGAGAAGAGUCUACAGGAAUCACGUAAGAUGAUGGAUAUUCUGACCAUGAUGUCAAAACAAGUGAUAUCCCUAAGCCCACCAAUGUAUUGAACACUGGCCCGGCGUAGCAGCCGGAUAUCGCAAUCUGUGCCCCAUCCGGACCACCAUGCAUUGCCAUGGAAACAUUGGCUAUCAAAUCCCCAAUUGAGUUUCCCCAAGCUAGGACAGUGAGUCCCAAAACGGAAGGGCUAAUUCCAAUGAUGUUCCCAAGUGAAACCAACAAACAAACCAGUUCCUCUGCAAUAAUGUACGUCCAAGUGACGCUCAUUAAAAACCCUCCUGCCAGCCAAGGUAACAAGCAGUGUUUUGGAGGCCUAGAUGUCUUAGUGGCCACAAAUGCUACGUUCCCCAAAACCAUCCCAACUAAACCGGAUGUCAUGUAGAUCACUAAUCGAGUUUUUGAAUCCAUUUCUUCUCUUUGAGUAUUCCAAAGGGUUGCUAAUAGAAUUGGAGCCAAAAUAACUGAAAGAACAGCAAAUGGCUUGGACCAUUUUUCUUCACUAACAAUAGGUAUUGUAAGUUUUCUUGGCAAGUGAAGGGGCAACUCCAAAACAUAAAGGAACAACCCCAAAUAUUGACUUAAUGAUGUAUUAAGGUUGCAACACCUUCUCCUUUGAUUCUGAUCCGAUUCUUCUGAUCCAUUUUGUCGAGCCAAAACACACUUUUCCUCGUCAACACAACCCAAUAAUGGUAUGCUGACGACCUCCCCAUAUUCAUCCCCAUCCCCAUCCCCAUCCCCCGCGAAAUCUUCUUGCUCACCAUUGAAGAAAUGCAUUGCACAUACCACACAUAUGUAAAGAACAUAAAUCGAAGCAAAACAAACUGCAACCCAAAAGUUUAUUCUUCCAACACUAAGGAUCACUAGUAGAGAAAUAAGAGAGAAAAGCAAGAAGAUAAUAUCUCUUAUGAAACUGGGCCUAUCAAUUUUGAUCUGAUGUGAACUGAUUAAUAUACUUAUAACUCCAACCACAAUACUAGAUAUCACAAAAGCUCCACCCAAAACACUGUUAAGGCCAACAUCACCGUCACUGGAUCGCGUAAAAGAGACGAUACUAGCAAAAACAUCAGACGCACCAUUUCCUAGCGGAAGAAGGGUAGUACCAGCUAUAGUUGGAGAGAGAUUGAGAAUUCUAGAUAAAUUUUCCACUGAAGGACAGAAGUAUUCUGAAGCUGUAUUAGCCAGUAAAUAAAAUAACAAAACAAGCCAUAGGAAAAGUAUAGUGUAACCGAAAAAGGGUAAUUUUCCACAGCUACAAUAGAAGAUUUCAAGACAGUUUAUAUACCCUUUUGGCUGGCAAGAUUUGUUUGAUCUUAUGUAUGUGCAUUUGGAUUGAUAAUCAGUAUAGUUGUGAAGGGCAGAGCAACCAUCGUCUUUAUUUUCAUGGAGAAUUGAAGACUUUGUGAAAAGGGCAGUGGACGUACCUUUGGAAAUAGUACGAAAAUUGGUAGUGAGAUAGAGUGAGAGGAGGAAAAUGAAGGAUAUGUUGAGGAGGAGAGAGAGUUUCAUGGUAUUUGAUGAGAAAAAGUGUUUGAGGUGCUGAUAUUGGGAUGUAAUCAUAUAAUGUAGUCCAUGGAAACAGUAACCGUAUGUUGCCCAACUUAUUUGGUGAUCAAGAUAAUUAAUGGACAAUAAUGAGACAAAAAAGGGGAGAUGACUAUCUACCAUGUGUAGUCAAAUUCAACUUGUUUUCUUCUUCUUCUUCUUCAUUUUUAAGCAAGUAAAAAGAUAUAUAAUUAUGAGAUGAAGGAAGAUUAGCUAGUACUUGUGGGUUUUUUUGACAAUUAAGUUCUCAGAAUGCAGCCACAAUUUAUUUAUCCUCCAUAUCUGUACUUGUAGUAAGAACAAUUGACGAAGCUUCAUAGUGGCAAGGGAGAGAAACAGAGGACUCAAAGCAUUGAGUGUAGGAAACAUAAGCGUUCGUUUUAAAUCAUGCAACCAAUAUUCUUACAAAACAAGCAAGGCACCUGCUACCUAUUUUGGAAGAAAUGGUACUACUACUACUACUUUCUUUAUAGUUUUUUACCAAACAUAACCUUGGAUUUAGAAAAACAAACUGUUAUAUUUGAUUUUUAAAAUUUUUUAUGGUCAAUUUGUACAACUUCAAAAUUAUUUAAUGCAAUACUUAGUUCAUACUAUGUGUCCGGAACAAAUAAUGUCCCAACAACAAGAUUAAGUCGUGUCGUGUGGCACUUUUUAGGGUAUUUUUUUAAACAAUUAAAAUAUAUAAAAAAAACCCAAUUGUGCCUCCCUCUUCGUGCCUUCUUAUUUCUUCAGCACCAUGUUUGCUCUUUCUGGGCGGAUUUGUUGGCUGUAUUAAGAUUGAAGUUGUCCCCUGAGGGAGAGGAAUCUAAAUGCUCUAAAUUUGGUGGAUUUGUUCUUGUAGGACAUAACAUAAGAUGAGACAUUAUUAUUUAAAAGAGAAAAGUAAAUUUGAGAGUUACACUACCUUCUCUCCUCUCUUAUCUCUCACAUGAGUUGGACACCAUUUAAAAUUGGCUUGGUUUGACUUUUUAAACCAAAUUAAUCAAUUUCAGAAUUAAAAAUUAAGUAUAUUUAUUUAUUUAUAUUUUCAAAAUCCUUCAAAAUGGAGGGAGUAGUGAGUUCUUAUGUUUAUAGUUUUUGCAUAUAUUGAUAAGAAAAUAAUAUAAAUUUUGAUUACAAAAACAAUUAAUUUGACUAAAAAAGUAAGUAAACCAAAUUUUUUUUGAGAGAUACAUGAGUACUAAAAUUAUUAUUAUGAGAGCUUAUAAUAAAUCAUAAUUUUUAAAUUAAAUAUUUCACAAAUUAACUAAGAAAAUAGGCAAAUGGAGCUUCUUCUUCUUUUUGAGUAGGAGUGUAUUACAAUUACAGAGCACACCCCUGAAAGAAUUGUAACCCCAUAUAUAACAGAAGAUGAGAAGAAGCAGUUUUAUUUCCACCUAAUUAUCUCUCUCUAAGCUCCUAUUACAAUAGACUAUCCUAUGUUUCAUAUUUAUUCCUCACAUUUGGGCCUUCAAACACAGCCCAUAAGCCCAGAAGAAAAGUUGUCCAAAGUUGAAAAGUAGUAGUAGUAGGAACUUCAAUAUUGGGCCGGGCUAAUAGGGCUCAGUCAUAUUACUUUAUGCAGACCAUCCUAAUAAUAAAGCGUCAAAAAAUUGCCGCGCCACUAACGCUCUGUUUCUGAAUUUUGAACAGAAAAAAAAAAAGAAUAGAAAACUUAAAAUUUUCUUUUGUGUUGUUUCUGAGUUUUUAAUGAAAAAUGAUAAAAAAUUUAAAAUUAAGGACAUGAGUUGUAAUUUAAAAUUUAUUAUAUUAAAAGUUGAGGAUAAUAUGAGAAUUAUAAAAAUAUUACUUAUUCUAAUUUCUUUUUCGUUCAAAUCAUGCCAAUUUUGGACGAAAAAUUUUGGCAUAAAAAGUGGUCAAAUUUUUUAUCUAUUUUUUUUCUUUUCCGUUUAUUAAAAAACUCAGAAACAAAACUUAAAUUUUCCGUCCAUUUAUUUUUUUUUCUGUGCAUUUUAAAACUCAUAAACAGAGUGUAAAACACACUCGGAACACCAAAACCUACCAAGAAUUCAAGAACCAAGAGGGAGAAAAAACGGAUAAGUCUCCCUCUCUCUCACUCUCGGUUUUGGUUGAGCUUUGGUCUCUCGGUUUCUGAGUUCUGUACCAGCUUAACUACAUACUGUUAAGCCAAAAAUGUUAAUGAACUCUACCUUCCAUGGCCGGCCUUAUCCACUAUUCACUAACUCAAAUCGUUACAAACUUUCUCUCUCUUCCCAUAUAUCUCUUCACCUGAAAAGCCCUCAGCUUCUUCCUCCUUUGUCUUUACUUUCGUUUAGAAGAACUAGCAGAAGAAGAAGAAGCUCUAAUCAAUUUUGCAUUCGAAAUUCGACUCAGCCUGAUGUUUUACAAACUACUGAUGAAGGGACACAGCGACACUCCAUCAAAAUUCCUGUCGGUGAUCGGCAUGUAAGUCAUUCUAAUGUUUGGGUAUUGUUUCCUAUUUCCUUGCUAAUUUGGUUAAAUUUAGUGGAAGUUUUCCUUCUCCAGUAAAGGUUGUGAAGUGCACUUUUCAUAAGGAUUCAAAUUCUAUACUAAAUUAUGGCCAUUUGCUAUUUCUUUUACUAAUUCUUACAAAAAAUAAAACAGAUACUGGUUGAGACGGGUCAUAUGGGGAGACAAGCUAGUGGUGCUGUUAAAGUAACAGAUGGAGAAACUGUAAGUUUUUCGAUUUAGAUUUAGGUUUGCCUAUAUGUUUUGUCCAUACCAUUUCAGUGCUGCGUGUGGUUGGAUUCUUAAAGUGAUAAUUUGCUCCUACUUAGUGAUGCUUACAUUUUUUUGACUGGUAGGGCUACAUCCAUAUGCACAUAUUUAAGUAACAUACAUAUUUAAGUAACAUUUUCUGCAAUUCAUUUUUGCACUGUCAAUUUCGUUGGUUCAUGAACUGAUGUAAAAUAACAAUGUCUGUGAAGCAAACACUAAAAUCAUAGUUAGCCCUUGAAAUAAUACUCCCUCUGUUCCACAAAAAGAUCCCCAAUUGAAAUUUUUACAAACUUCAAGGUUAUAUAUAUUUCUGAAGAUUACUUGCCACAAGUAAUGGUUAGAGUUAUAGGACCACAAGGGCUGGGAGAAAUGACAAAGGGCUUGAGGAAGAACCCUCAAGGGCUCUGGUUUUAGUCCCAUACUUUGGGACAAUUAUUGUCAUUGAAGCAAACACUAAAUUCAUAGUUAGCCCUUGAAAUAAUACUCCCUUUGUUCCACAAAAUGAUCGCCAAUUUAAAAUUUUACAAACUUCAAGGGUAUAUAUAUUUGUGAAGAUUACUUACUACAAGUAAUGGUACCUCAAGGCCUCUGGGACAAUUAUCUAUAAAAGAGAAAAAUGUAAUGUUUAGAAUUAUCUGAUUGAUUAAGACUACGAGCUAAAGGACCAAAUUAAUAAAAAUAUUACAUACGUAUACAUUUAUGUCUAUAUAUUACUUUAUGUACCUUAUAAAAGAAGAUGCUGGUAUUUGAUAUGCGACAGAGAAAACUAUCCACGAUGGCUCUAAAUUUUUGUCAAAACGACACUAAAAAAGGUUCUUAAACUAUCAUUUGCGGGACCACCAAUAAAUUCGUUUGUUUUUGUUUCUAUAUCUGAUAUAUAUUAAAGCUGUACAAUUUUUGUUAAAAAAAUUCACCGUUUGUUAAAGACUUCAUCGAUUCAAGAAAAGGGAUUUCAUUUCAUGAAAAUUUGAAUUGAAAGGAUUUUGCCGUUGACAUUUUACUGACUAGAUUGGAACACUUUCUUAGUUAGCAAGACCUUUUGAUUUGUUCAUCAACUAGGUUCCAUUGACAUAUAUAGGUUCAUAAAGAAUUAUUUGGAUUUAUUUCUGUCAAUACUUUGUAUUUUGGUUAUGUGAGUUGGAUCUGCAGAUUGUCUACACAACUGUGUGUUUGGCUGAUGUUCCAAGUGAGCCUUCUGAUUUCUUCCCACUUUAUGUGAAUUAUCAAGAGCGUUUUUCAGCAGCUGGUCGAACUAGGUUUGUCUUGUGUUUCUCUUCUUUCAUUUGAUUAUAGUACCGUCAGGAUAAAACAUGCAAUAAUUAUUGUUAUCAUUAUUAUAUUAUCUGCUUUUGGACUCGUGCUUUCAGUGGAGGAUUUUUCAAGCGAGAAGGGAGGGCAAAAGAUCAUGAGGUACUAGCCACUAUCACUUGGGUAGAAAUACCCCUGUACAGCUGAUCACUACAUUUAUUACUUUGAAUAGGACUAUCGCUACAUUAAUGUAUUGCCUCAAAUUCUCAAUAGCUAAUUGUAUGUUGUUGGUGGCAGGUGCUUAUUUGUAGAUUGAUUGAUAGGCCGCUGCGCCCAACCAUGCUUAAGGGCUUCUAUCAUGAAACUCAGAUACUAUCUUGGGUAUGUUCUAUGUUUUCUUUUUGAAACAUCCCUUUAUUUAAGAUGUUAUUUCUCUUCCUUGUUGUGUUUGUCGUCCUGUUUACUACUUACAUUAUUCUCAUCAGGUGUUGAGCUAUGAUGGUUUGCAUUCCCCAGAUUCUUUGGCCGUUACAGCAGCCGGAAUUGCAGUGUAAGUUAGAUUCUUGUUCCUUGUUUAUUGAACAAUAGAAUUCGAAAUCCAAUAAUUUUUUCAGGUAUUUUUUUCUUAUACCUUGUUAUUCGAAUUCAACAGAGCUAUUUCGGAAUUGCCAAAUUCAAAAACUGUUGCAGGAGUUCGAAUUGGUCUGGUUGGGGAUAAGUUUAUUGUGAAUCCAACAACCAAGGAGAUGGAAGACUCGAAGUUGGAUAUGUUGCUAGCAGGCACUGACAGUGCAAUAUUGAUGAUAGAGGUCAACUCUCACUAUUUUCUUAUCUAUAGCAAGUCAGGGGAUCUUUCUGUAAAUAUAUACACCCGUAAACUUAUCCAAGCAUGAUAAGGAAAAAUCAUAUGGGAUGUGCUCAAUUUUUGUAGUGGAUUAGUUGAUUACUGUUUUAACCACCUACAUGCACCCUAUUUGUUAAACAAGGAACUAUUAAAUAUUUCUGAUGUCUAUGCAGUAUGCCCAUGUUAAUCUUUUCUUUAUCCUUGCUGUCAAAUAGUGAUCAUGUAUUGCAUUUUAAACUGAAGUAGUUAACUGUAUUUGUUGCUUGUAAACCAUCAUAUAAUUGCAAACUGUAGAAGGCUAUUUCUUUUAAAUUUAUUAAUUUUAUUCUUGUCGGUGCAAUAUCUGCAUCACAUGAAUGUUUUUCGACUAGUAUAUUCCUUGGUUAUUCGAUUACUACUGUCCAUGCUAAUUAAUCACAUUGACUCUAGUCUCUAGUGUUUUGGAACUUAUUCUUGUAGGGUUACUGUGAUUUUCUUCCAGAAGAGAAGUUGCUUCAAGCAGUAGAAGUUGGGCAGGUGGUUGUUUUUUACUGAUUUAGUAUUUACUUAUUUUGCUAUAGUGUCGUUGUGUUCAACUUUUAAAUAUAUUUUGAUCAUUUGCCACCAUACUUGGAUGUCUUCAUUGGACACAUAUCUAUGAUUUUGUUCCUCUCUCUCUCCCACUUGAGGCAUUAGGUACUUAUUAGAGGGAAUUGUAAAAUUAAUGGUGGUAGAUCUUAUAAAGCCGAGCAGCACUUGUUGUACAUAUGGCAUCAACAUUUAAUAACUUAAAUUUGGGUCUGCUCUUUCAUUAAGAGGUUCUUUCUAGAACUAUUGGCUUUUGUAUGGCUCUAAGCCUCUAACGCAAAAUCUAUGUAACAAAUCUACCUUUAGACACACAAGAAUCCUUAUUUUUGAAGGUGUUAGUAUUAGUAUACACUAAAAUAAUGCUAGAAUGACUUCUUCUCUUGUGUAUCUAAUGUUUAAAGUAACCAGUUGUUGUUGAUCCAUUUUCAAAAGCCAACAAAACUAGAAUAGCACUAUAUUUUGAAGUGAUCCAUCCUUUCAAUUUAAUUUUAAUUUAAAGAAGUCUCACUAUGAUAGUUGUGUAAAGUUAUCAGAUGCUCUAAAACCUUAAGCUGUUAGAUAGACUGCCCACUGCCCAAGAAUGUACAUAUACUUCAGCCCUCCCCAUCAUGUGCACCUCUGACACUUGCACGUGGAGAGACAAGGUGCAUCAUAGUGCACAAACCAAAGUGCAAUUGCAACAAGAUAAAGGGGGAACCAAUUGGAAAAUUGAACCCAAGACCUUGCAUACCCAUAGAUUUGGCACCAUUUCCAGUUAACAGCUAUGAUAGUAUCUUAAACUGUUAAAAAAGGUCCAACAAAGUAUAUCAUGCUUUAGAAAUUUAACUUAUAAAAAAGAAAUAACAUUUGUGGACAUACAAAGUGGCAAACGAAAUAUGACAUAAAUAAAUUAUCUUAGCUUAAUGUCUUUAAUCUCCUGCCUCGAUGAAAGUUGGUAGCCUUGUCUUGAUUACAAAUUUACAACAAGUUAUUAUUUGGUAAUUGGGCUUAUAAUGAGCAUGUAGCUGGAGAGCAGUGGAAAUCCUCUUUUUAAUUGAGUUGCACAUGAAGAUGAAAGUACACUGAUUUAAGACUAUUGUAUUUCAUCUGAAGGGAGGCAAAAGAUAAUUAAAUGAGAUUGUAUUUGUUCAUCACCAAGACUUCUUCUUGAAGUAAGAUGAUGUACUUAGAGAGCAAUAUCAGUUGAUGGAGCCAUUUUUGUAAUCUGAAAGGACACAGGACAAUAGUCCAAAGAGAUUUGUCAAACUGCAAAUCAUUACAGGAAACUAAUUUUAAAUUCAUUACUUGUUUCAUUAGUGAUGGAGCAUGAAUUAGUGUAAUUAAUGUCCUAGAACUAUUCUAAUUUCUUACUUUCUUAGGACGCUGAUUUGGAUGCAAAAUAUCAACCAAGUUAAAUUGUGGCUUUUAAGAUUAAUUGAGGAAUUUUUUCUUUGUUAUUUUACCUAUAGAGUAGGAUUAUUGUAAGCUACAUUUGGCACUUAAAUUGUUAUUAAAAGCUGAAUACCAUAAAAGAAAAAGAGGAAUCCUUGUGUGUUACUAAACUCUUUUCUUGUUUGCAAUGCCAGGAUGCUGUACGAGCCAUUUGCAAUGAGGUGGAAACAUUGGUUAAGAAGUGUGGGAAACCAAAAAUGCUUGAAGCAAUUAGAUUACCUCCUUCUGAGCUAUAUAAGCACGUCGAAGUAUAUACCUUUGUCUUCCUUUCUAGAAAAUAACACUAAACUUUGUUUUGUUGUUUUAUUUUUGUCAGAGAUAGUUCAGAUAUCUUGCAUGCUCUCUACAAUUUUAACAAUGGGUAGAUAAAAAAGAUUUACUUCCUGUUAUUACUUAUAUACAUACUUUAAAAUAAUGGGGUAGUUAAGUAUCCACAUUAAGGGUAUAAUAUGGCGGUUGAAUCAAUUGAUGUUCUUUUCCAUCUUGAAAAGUAUAACUUGAUCUGUGAUUUAUUUCAUUUAAAUACGUUUGUGUUUCAUCUUUGUUUAAUUGAUGUGCAUAAGUUUAGGUUAUUUAUACUCAUUUGAUGAGCACCGUAUGUUAUUAAGAUAUUUUCCAUCUCUUAAUGUCAUGAAUAACGGGAACUGUUAAUUUGUUAUAUUCUAGGAAAUUGCUGGUGAUGGAUUGGUGAAAGCACUACAAAUUAAGAACAAAAUUCCAAGAAGAAAGGCCCUAUCGUCACUGGAAGAGAAAGUUUUAACUAUACUUACGGAGGAGGGUUUUGUGAGCAAGGACGAAACUUUUGUAGCUGCUGAGGUGGUACCAGACUUGUUUGAGGAUGAAGACGAGGAUGAGGAAGUGGUUGUGGACGGGGAAGUUGAUGAAGGAGAUGUUCAUAUAAAACCAGUUUCACGAAAACCCAUUCCUUUGGUAAACUCGACUAUUCCAUACCUAAAUAUAGUAGUUGUGUUCGAAUAUCUUAGCAAGGUUUUCAUUUAGUUAUUUUUCUUGCUUAAUUAAGUACAAUAGGCCUUAUUUAGAUUUUAGUAUGAAUAUGAUUGUUAAAAUAUUUAAUUGGGACCUAUAAUCUUCACUUGGUUGAUUAUAUUUCAGAAAAAGCCUUAUACAUCAUUCGCUGGGCUGGGAGCGUUGUGAAUAAUUUUGCAUAAUAUAAUUGUCCUUUUAGCUUUUCUUGACCAAGUAAUUCUACAAGGAAAUAUUAUUAAAAUUUAGACAUACAGUUAGAUUUAUGUUACUUUAGAGCCUUGAAAUGAAUAAAUAUCUCCCCUUUUCAUGGUUCAACUUUUGCGGUAAUGGCUUAGGUUGCAGAAAGGUUUUUUAACUCAAAACAGGUUUUGGCUUCGGUUUCGGCGAUACACACUAUUACACUAGAGCUUCAAAUUUAUGUAUUUAUUAUUAUUAUUGUUUUUAAUUAGUUAAUAUGUAAAUAUACAUAUUUAUUAUUACUGCUUCUAUUCCACAAAAGGGUCAUAUUGUUUGAUAAUAUUAUUAUUACUCCCUUUGUUUCACAAAACAGUCUGAUUUGUUGAUUUUCCAUUACACCGUUAUUACCUUGACUUCUCCAUUAUGCCGUUAUUUCUCCUUUCUCUGUCACACCAUUAUUUUUUCCCGGCAAAAUUUCGCCUAUACGCAACUUUAUAUUGAUAAUCUUGAAAUUACAAAUCUUUAUCGGAUCUGUGAGGAAAGAAACAAAAACCAAUACUCCAAGAUUUCAGCAACCCGGCCUAUACUUUGAACCAUGCUCCUUUGAAAUAAAAAUCAUCUUUUGUUUAUGAAGAAGGUUUUAUUAUUUGCCUCGUCUACAAUGUGAGCAAAGCAAAAAUUUCCAAUACAUUUUGUUGCAUCUUAGUUGAAUUUCACUUUGUAUUGCUCUAACAAGUAACAGGCAGCUCCUGAGGAUAUGAGUGGGGUGUGAACAGGAUGGAUGCCCUACCCUUAUCCCCAUCCCAUUACUGUUCUUCCUUUUUGCCAUCCCAGUUCAGAUGAACUGUUGAAAGGUUAUUCAUCGUUAGUUAUAUAGCUUCUCUACUGUCUGUCACUUUUCCUUGGCAGUAUCAAUAGAAUUUCAUCAUCCAUGUGGGAGACGUAAGUAGUACCUAUGUUUUGAACACAUAAUAACAAGUAACGAAACACCAGAUUUAAAGGGUCAUAAUCAUUGUAAAAAAAAAUAAUCUUUCCGUGCUAUCAAAUUUGGUUCAUACAAGUCAAGAAGAUUUGUUCUCCAACAAAAAGUGUCAUUAAUAUCUUUUUCGGUUGUCAAGUGUAAAGGUUUUAAGUAUGUAUCAAUUUCUUAUUAAACCUGUUGCUUGCAACACUGCAGUUGGACACUCGAAUUGGGUUUUAUGGUGCUUGUCAAUUUGCAUCGCAAGGAUUUUACAUUCAAAUCCCCAUAAAGUUCUUGCUUUAAUGACUUCGGCCGGGUACUAUCUUACAUUGUUGUCCGAACACCUAGUCUGUUCCCUGGUGAUCACUCAGGACUGAAAUCUUCACAAUUUUUUCAAUACAUCAAAAUAACUGGGACUGCCUAAACCUUUCCUAGUAUGUGUCCAGGCGAGCGUCCCAGGUGGGCGUCAGUUGUCUAUUUAUCACCCAGGUCUUUUUUGCUCAGGCAAGCAUCACACAAACAGUUUUAAUUACAUAAAGUGCCUAGCUAUCACCUUUAGCUACAAUCAUAUCUACUUAAAUUUCCUUAUUUCAGCAUUUAAUUGAUUUUAUUGCUUUAUCUACUACAUUCACAUUUUAUAAUUACACAUUGUGGAAUAAGUCCAUAAUACCUGUCUCAAUUCUCUUCCUCUUAUAGUUGUUUUCUGAGGUAGAUGUGAAGUUGGUGUUUAAAGAAGUUACAUCCAAAUACCUGCGGAAACGUAUUGUGGAGGUACGAAUGCUCUUUCUAACUGAAUAACCACAUGCGCAUAAAAGUUGAUGUUUUUUUUUUCAAUUUCUUUAGAAAAGCACUCACGCAUGCACAUAAUACAUAGUUUGUAACAUAUUCCUUAGUUUCUUCUCUUGCUAUUUGUGAUCUUUAUAUGUUUAUGAGUGAUACUAUUUUCAAUAAAUUAAUUUUUAAUUUUAUUUCCAAUAUAUGCACUGAACUACUCAACUCUUAUUUAGUAGUCUUUUACUAUGUAAAAUUCUGGUUAAUACAUGAAUUAUUAUCUUGAUGCAAUUGAUGGAGGUUGUCAGUGAGCUCUAAGUCUUGGUAUUGAUGUUAUUAUUUGAAUGUAGAAAAAGCUGAUAUAAAGUUUAAAUGUCUUCUUAUUUGUGUACGAUGCUUUGUUGCUCAAUGUACUCAAUUAUGGUAUAAGCCUUCCAACACAACGUUUAUUUUUUGAUUGAGCUGGUUCUGAAUUCCCUGUAAAGUUGCUAACCCUGGUUACUCCCUUGCCUCAUCCCACCUUGUGAUUGUUCAGCACACAACUAUUAGCUAGUUUACAGUUUUCAAGAGUUUAUUUGGGUAUUUUAUUUCUUGUUUCUUAUUGAUUACUCAAAUAUGAAAUUAUGUCAGAGAUAAAAUAAAUAAAUAAACGUUUCUUGGGAAAAAUUUAACUCAAGUUUGUUCUUAAAAUUUAGUAAACCAUAUAUUUAUAUGCUAACUUGUUUUUUGAAAAGUUAAACUUACCUUGCUCUUCACUAAAUUUGGUAAAACCUUCCAAUUGCUGCUAAUUCCAUAUAAUGUGUUGAUUUUGAAAAUUUCCUUUUCUUUUAGGGAGGAAAAAGAAGUGACGGCAGAACUCCAACUGAUAUACGUGUAAUUAACUCAGAAUGUGGAUUACUUCCUAGAGCACAUGGAAGUGCUCUUUUCACACGCGGAGAAACACAGGUUUGUUGAAUAUCAUUCAUUUUCGAGAUUUACUGGUAAGUAUGAGUGGGUGCCUUUGCGCGAUGAUCAAAUCUACACUGUUAUUUGGAUUAAAAACUGAACACUUCUUUCAUUUAGUAUUUCUUGAAAAGUCACUAUAUGGCAGCAGACUCAGCACUAUCAUUGGAGCAAUGCCUUGAUAUAUUUGGUUUUGUUUUCACUUGUUGAUGAGUUUGUGUAUAUUUAUACAGUCACGUAUCUAUUUAAUACCUCUUUAAAAAUGCAGUUGAAUUUCAAUCUCUCACUCAUUGUCUACUAAUAUCAAUAUGUUUGAGCAUGCUGUUUAAAAUAUUUAUGCAUUUGUAGAAAUUUUAGCAUUUGUUCAUAUUAAUUAUCAAUGAUCUGAGGCAAAUACAUCUCCAUAUGGUCAGUUUGGCCAUCCUAGACUCUUCCUAAUUUAUUUUUGUUUCCUAUGUCCACUCAGCCUCACUCCCAUAUAUAUAUAUAUAUAUAUAUAUAUAUAUAUAUAUAUAUAUAUAUAUAUAUAUAUAUAUANNNNNNNNNNNNNNNNNNNNNNNNNNNNNNNNNNNNNNNNNNNNNNNNNNNNNNNNNNNNNNNNNNNNNNNNNNNNNNNNNNNNNNNNNNNNNNNNNNNNNNNNNNNNNNNNNNNNNNNNNNNNNNNNNNNNNNNNNNNNNNNNNNNNNNNNNNNNNNNNNNNNNNNNNNNNNNNNNNNNNNNNNNNNNNNNNNNNNNNNNNNNNNNNNNNNNNNNNNNNNNNNNNNNNNNNNNNNNNNNNNNNNNNNNNNNNNNNNNNNNNNNNNNNNNNNCUCUUUAAAAAUGCAGUCAAAUUUCAAUCUCUCACUCAUUGUCUACUAAUAUCAAUAUGUUUGAGCAUGCUGUUUAAAAUAUUUAUGCAUUUGUAGAAAUUUUAGCAUUUGUUCAUAUUAAUUAUCAAUGAUCUGAAGCAAAUCCGUCUCCAUAUGGUCAGUUUGGCCAUUCUAGACUCUUCCUAAUUUAUUUUUGUUUCAUAUGUCCACUCAGCCUCACAUGUUUCUUAAAUGCCCAAAAUUAUGCAAUAAAUCUACCUCAUAUUAUUGCCAAAAACUUAAGGUGGUGGUGGUUAUAUCUUAGUUAUUUUGGCCUAUUUCUCGUCUUCAAAAUAACCAUAUAGCACUCAUGGAGGUGAUCCUUUUGAUGCAUCCUUGGUCAUCAACUACAUUGACAUCGAAAUGGCUUACAUUAUUAUAUUUUUAUAUGGCUUUGUGUGAAUCACUAUUCACUUGGUUUGAUUAUGCUAUGCUGAAUUUCAGUUAGACAAUAUCCAAAAAUGGUAGUAGGUGAGUGUGAAAUAAUGGGUCUGUGAUGCUGUCAGGUUCCUAAUGCCUUUUGUCGUGUUUCCUUUUGGUAUUUACAGUCGUUAGCAGUGGUUACGCUUGGUGAUAAACAAAUGGCACAAAGAAUUGACAACCUUGUGGAUCUGGAAGAUGUGAAGAGAUUCUAUCUUCAGGUGCGUGCAUGUGCGUAGUUUUUUGUCUGCUUCAAACUCACACACAUGCACAAAUAGAAAGUCUGUUCCUCCCAGAAAGGUAACGUUAGAGCUGAAUAAUUGCAGCUAUAGUUACUCUUUUAAAGAAUUUAACAAAAUCAUACCCAGUGCACAAAGACUCCCGCAAAUAGCAGGGCCUGGAUAAGGUUUCUAGAAGUUUAAAUAUUUAUUUCCUGACUUGAUUAUAUGAUUGCCUUAACUUUCACACUGUAUUCUCUCCCUCUAGAAAUUUGUUUUCCAAAUUGGUUGUAAUUUAUGUUUGCUAAAUGGUGCUGCUAAUAACGUUACUCUUCAAUCAAAAGGAUGUCACUUUUACUAAUUGUAUGGUUAUGGUAGUCACACAUUGUUUGUCUUAGAUGAAUUUGAAUUUUUAUCACCCAUUGUAGUCCCCCAUAAAAUUGAUAGAGUUAAGUACUUGAGUAUUAUUUGAGUAAAGUUUUGUGCUUGUAGUCAGAAGGAUUUCCUAUUCCUUGCAAUGAAGAAGCAAACUAUAGUCAACAGACUAGAGGAUUCCUUGUGAGGGUUACACAAACUGCCUCUUCUUCUUUCUCUGCUAUUCUAUUCUUACUUGCAAGCUGUUAUCCCACAUCAGAGGUGGCUUAACGUAUUGUAGUUUUUAUAAUGGUCCCCUUCAUCUGGGAUUGAAUUAGUUUCCUCUACUGCUUCCCCCCUACCUGGGGUGGAGUUCUGUGUUUGAGGAGGGAAGGUUUACCCUCUCCUUUCGCAUUCUAGCCCAACUAAAUUUGUUUUUCACACGCCUUUGUACUUAUACUUAAUAGUUAAUAUUCUGAGUUAUUUGCUGAUAAUUGAAAUUCAAGCUUUAAUUUUUUAAAGGUUUUCUUCAGCUUUUAGAUGUAUAUAACAAUUUGUUGGAUUGUUUAGUACUCCUUUCCACCAUCAUGUGUCGGGGAAGUUGGGAGGAUGGGUGCACCCAGUAGAAGAGAAGUUGGUCAUGGUAUGCUUGCGGAGAGAUCCCUUGAACCUAUAUUGCCUUCUGAAGAUUCUUUUCCUUACACUGUACGCGUCGAGAGUACCAUAACUGAAAGCAAUGGCUCGUCGAGGUGAGCAGCUAUUAUAUAGUUAUGGGUUAAAAGAAUUAUAAUUGUUGACUUGAUGUUCUUGUAGAUAGUUCAGAAUAUAGAAAUCUUUUUCAAAUGUCUCUUAGAAUUUUUCUGCACCCAGUAAACAGUAUCAUAUUUAUCUCUAUAUCAAUUUCUUAUCAAGUCACAUGGUUGAAGAAUAAAAUUUAAAUCCUUGUGCCCUCACUUCCAGUAUCUUUAUGUGACAGUAUGGCAUCAGUUUGUGGGGGAUGCUUAGCAUUACAAGAUGCAGGGGUUCCAGUAAAAUGCUCCAUUGCUGGUAUAGCAAUGGGUAUGGUCUUGGACACAAAGGAAUUUGGGGGUGAUGGAACCCCCCUCAUCCUCUCUGACAUAACCGGAUCGGAAGAUGCAUCUGGAGAUAUGGAUUUCAAGGUCUUCCCUGGAAUANNNNNNNNNNNNNNNNNNNNNNNNNNNNNNNNNNNNNNNNNNNNNNNNNNNNNNNNNNNNNNNNNNNNNNNNNNNNNNNNNNNNNNNNNNNNNNNNNNNNNNNNNNNNNNNNNNNNNNNNNNNNNNNNNNNNNNNNNNNNNNNNNNNNNNNNNNNNNNNNNNNNNNNNNNNNNNNNNNNNNNNNNNNNNNNNNNNNNNNNNNNNNNNNNNNNNNNNNNNNAAAUAUGUACAGUCAAGCUAUACUCCGACAUUGCCACUGUGGAUUAUGUCUCCGGAGAAUAUUGACUAAAUAUACUAGUGAUUUCAAUGAUGCAGGUUGCUGGAAAUGACCAUGGUAUAACUGCAUUUCAGAUGGAUAUAAAGGUUAUAUAUCAUAUGCUUAGUAAUACACUCCCUCAACUACAAAAUAUAAGUUCUUUAGACUUUUUUGUGGUCAAUUUGAGACAUUUUUAAAUUCAAAACUGAUAAGAAUUCAUGUAAUAAGUACUACUAAUUACAAGAUUUAUUGUUCUCAAUAUUUUGAAUGAAUCACAUUAAUUUUGAAUUUGAAAAUGUUUCAAUUGAUUGCAAAAAGUCAAAAUUGCUCUUAUAUUUUGGAACUGAGGGAGUAUUUCUUUUGAGAUUAAAGUGUAGGAGUCUGGGCACACUUGCAUGUGUAUGUUUCAUGAUUGGCUCUUGACCAAUGGUCAGAUGUCACUAGUCUCUCCAUAUUUUAUAGCUGCUCAUUCUUACGUGACAGGUAGGAGGAAUUACUUUACCAACUAUGAAUCAGGCUCUCCUACAAGCAAGAGAUGGGAGAAAACAUAUUCUCGGUAAAGUUCACCUACGCACAUUUGCAUCCGCAUAUUAUUAUACGGGUUUAGUGACUUUGUUAUCCUCAAUAAUUUGAUUAAGCCUCCUACCCUAACAUUGACUUCAUGAAUACUGAAGAGCGGGUAGAGAUACCCAUGAAACUUCUAUCUGAACCUGCUAAAUCUCUUGUAGAGGAUUCCACACUUCUAAAACUUGAAAUAGGGAAAAAGUGCAGUGAAGUAAUUUUCAGUGUUCUAAAAAGCGAUUUAGGCCGCGCCUAGGCGCUAGGCCCCCAUGGCGCCUGGCCUAGGUGGCAAAAAAUCCCUCUAGGCGGGUAAUUUAAAUUGUAUUAUUUAAUAGCAAUCUUGUUUAUGAAUAAAACUAAUACGUUAAAGAUAUGUUAGCUAUACUUAGCAUAUGGUAUUUGUCAUUUUUUUUAAGUCCUCAAUUUUGAAUAUUACACAAAUAAAAAUAAUUUCAUAAUUAAUAAUAUCAAAUGUUUCAUUCAAUAAUUUUCAUACUAAUUUUUAAAAAUAACAUUUAUUUAAAUAUAAAAAUAUCUCAAAUUGAUUUUUAAGAAAUUAAUAUUAAUUUGAUUGUGUUUGAACUUUGAACAAUUGCAUGUUUGUCUUUGAACUUUGACAUUGACAAUAUGGAUGUGUUUGAACUUUAAACAAAGGCUUUUAAUAUCUUUAUUAUAGAUUGUUUUGUUUUAUAUUAUUAUUUUGUUAGGAUAAAUGUAAGAUAAAAUAUUAAAAUUGACUUAAAAUAAAAAAAUCCCGCCUCGGCCCCCGGCCUCCCGCCUCCCGCCUCCCGCCUAGCACCUUUUAGAACAUUGCCUUUUAGAACAUUGGUAAUUUCUGUGUUUUGAGGUGUAUACAAACUGAUUAUUUUAUUCAUUGUUCUCUUCCUCUUCAACAUCAAGGAGUUGCCUCUGCUACAGGGACUAUUUAAUAUUUAUCCUCAGUCACAUUGUAGAAUAUAGACAUACUCCAUUAUGCAUUCACUGAAUUCAACUUACCAGCAAGAACACUAAAAUGACCUUGUACAUUUUUCUGAAUUUAGGGGCUGGCUACAUAGAUUGCACAGGUAUAUUACAUAUAGGGGAGCAUCUAUGUAUUAAGUGAUUAGCCGUGUAGGAUGUGACACUGAGUCAUCUUUUAAUUAAAUGCUUUCUGUUUUUAAACAGAUAAAAAAGAAAAGAAAAAGAAAAAGGAGAGUUGUAUGACUUCAAUUAAUGAAUUAGCAAAGCAUUUUAAUUUCUGGUGUCAGCAUAUUGACUUUUCUUUCCUUUUGUGCGCUGGAUUUCUAAGUCCUAAAAACUUUCUUCUCCAACCAUGUCUCUUUUCUACAUUUCAUUUCUCAUCUCUCCGAUCUAUAUCACUCUCUGCUAUAUAUUUAUAAUUCUUUAUACAAGGGCUGAUAGAAUCAUGGAGUCAGAAAUUUAACUGGAGAUUUGGAUCUUCUUGUAUAUUCAUGUACAUUAGUAGUGGUACUCCUAUAUUUUCAAUGGUGAAGGGACUUGUUCUUUCUCUUAUCUUCUUUUGCUUUUCUUCAGGUGAGAUGUUGAAAUGCUCACCGCCUCCUUCAAAGAGGAUUUCUGAGCAUGCCCCACUGAUUCAUGUGAUGAAGGUUUGUUAAUUUUUCAGAUUGGUAUGUGAUUGCUUGUAAUUAGGAUAAAUAUGCUCAUGAACUUUUAUGGUGGUCUCUAGGUUAAACCGGAUAAAGUAAACCUUAUUAUCGGUUCUGGUGGGAAGAAGGUGAAGAGUAUAAUUGAAGAGACCGGUGUAGAAUCUAUUGACACACAAGAUAAUGGAAUAGUAAGCUUAGAGGAAACCUUAUCUUCUAAUGGUGUGUUUGACGCUUUUAUCUCACUACGGUCUUGCAUACUAACACAUAUUUGCAGGUGAAAAUAACUGCAAGAGAUCUGUCAAGCCUAGAAAAGUCUAAAGCCAUUAUUAGUAGUUUGACGAUGGUUCCAGUUGUUGGUGAUAUCUAUAGGUCUCUCUAUUUAAUUUCUCUACAAUUCUAUGUGUGUGUGUGUAUUGUUUAGAAUUGUUAUUUUUGGGAUUUUUUGUAGAUAAUUAGAAGACCUGCACCACCAAGGCACUUAAUAACUAUGACAUGUCUCAAGGUUAUAGUCCAACAAAAAAACAAAAGCCACUGGGGGGAUCCGCAGACACUUCCUUCUGCCAAAAGAAUAGCAAACUCAAUAAUAAAUACUCCCUCCGUUCCAAAUAUAAGAUCAAAAUUGACUUUUCAAAGUCAACUUUAAUGUUUUCAAAUUCAGAAUUGUUUGUUUAAAUCUUGAAAACAAUUAAUCUUGUAGUUAGUAGUAUUAUUAAGAUAGUUUACAAUUUUCAUAAUUGUAUUGUCUAAAACUAAAUUAAUUCAUAUCAAUUUAAAAUUUAAAAAUAUCUUAAGUUGAUUUUAAAAACCCAAUAUUGAUCCUAUAUUAUAUUAUGAAACGAAGAGAGUAUUUGAUUUGUACAAUAGACGUCUCCCUAGUUUCAUCAUUCGAUUAUAACCGGACCGAAUAGGCUAUUCGGUUAUAACCGAAUACCAAAAUAUUCUUAUUUUCAAUAUCCGGACUAAUAACCGAAUUUUGGUAAUAACCGAAUACCGAAUUGUAAAUUCGGUAUUUCGGGUAAUAACCGAACACUGCUAUUAAAAAUAACACCCAAAAAUGAUUCCACAAAAGCAAAAGCAAAAGCAAAAGCAAGUAACUAAAUCUGGGCUGGGAUACAAACAAUUAAUUAGAUACAUAAGGAUAUUUCUACACCAAAACUUUAACAAAGAAAAAGCAACUGCUUCUGGGCACAGAUGAUGACCGAAAAUUAGAAACCAUUUAAUUCAUGGUUUCAUACAUCUUAGUAACAAAUGUGAACUACUUUGAACAGAAAACACAACAACAUUACAAGCAAAUCCAAUUCCAGACACCGUCUCUACGGAGAGAGCCUGUUUAAAAUAGAAAAUAAGAAGAGGAACCAAGAACAGAUCUAUGAUUUUUACCCACGUUGAGUCCUCGAAGGCACUCCAAAUCCAUCGUUUGUCCGUAUUGCGAGAGACGAGAGUGGAUUUAUCGAAGCGGUGGAUAUUAUAAGCCUUCAUCGUCGAUAUUUUGGGGCUAAAAUCGGGGGAUACUAGUGGUGAAAUUUGAGAUCUGAGGGUUCGGUGCUUGUGAUUAGUGGAGAGAGAAAGCGGGAGGAACCGAAGAAGAGAGGGAAGGGGCGAAGGUGCCGGAGGAGAGAUGAGAGAUCGAGAGGGGUGAGUUACUGACUUGUAGCAGGGUUUAUUGUGAAAGGGAGAAUAACCAUUUGGGGGCGCGAAGUCGCAAACACACUGGAGUAGAGAGGAACUAAGAUGGAAUUAGGGUUAUCAAGAUGAGAUCUGCUUUUUUUUUCCAAAAAAAUUGUGGAUCUUUGGGCCCUUGGGCCACUUAUUGGUGAUUCUUGUCCCGUCCAAAAGAAUUGGCCCGUCCAAAUUUAAUACCUUAUUUGACUUAUCAGGCCCAUCAUACAAAUAUUAAAUUCCUUUUUUUAAUGAAUUAUGUUCGGUUAUUCGUGUAACCGAAUAGGAUGAUUUUAAUAACCGGACCCGAAUACCGAAUAAGAAUUCGGAUAUAACCAAAUUACAAAAAAUAACCGAAUUAUCAAGAAAUUUCGGUUAAAAAAAUUCGGUUCGAUUCGGUUAUAUCCGUUUUUUGCUCAGUCCUAUCCCUAGCCUCAAAAUAUCUGCAAUUCCUUCCCUCCAGAGCACCUACCAAAGGCAAUGAGGAUUUAUAUCCCAGUUAGAAUGAAUCCUCUUAUGGACUUUAGCACCUUUCCCAGCACAAAAUACCCCCCCCACCNNNNNNNNNNNNNNNNNNNNNNNNNNNNNNNNNNNNNNNNNNNNNNNNNNNNNNNNNNNNNNNNNNNNNNNNNNNNNNNNNNNNNNNNNNNNNNNNNNNNNNNNNNNNNNNNNNNNNNNNNNNNNNNNNNNNNNNNNNNNNNNNNNNNNNNNNNNNNNNNNNNNNNNNNNNNNNNNNNNNNNNNNNNNNNNNNNNNNNNNNNNNNNNNNNNNNNNNNNNNNNNNNNNNNNNNNNNNNNNNNNNNNNNNNNNNNNNNNNNNNNNNNNNNNNNNNNNNNNNNNNNNNNNNNNNNNNNNNNNNNNNNNNNNNNNNNNNNNNNNNNNNNNNNNNNNNNNNNNNNNNNNNNNNNNNNNNNNNNNNNNNNNNNNNNNNNNNNNNNNNNNNNNNNNNNNNNNNAAAAAUUAAAUAAAAGACCAUAAACCACAAUAGAUUAACCACCUCACAGUGAAGGAGCAAGUGAUCGCUGACUCACAAUUUUUCCUGCACAUAUAACACAAAUUGAUCACGAUCUUCCACCGCUUCCAUGAGCUUGUAUCAGUAUGCUCUUAAUGCCACUGUCCACGUGGAAAAGGUCCACGUGAUGGUUUCAUUGUUGUUCCGUGAUUUCUAAAAUUCAAAUAGUAUUUUGCUAUUCUCCUAUAAAUAGGAUGCUUAGUUUAGAAAUAAAAAUUACACCAGAAUCAGAGAAUUUUUCUUUUAUAAUAUUGAGCGUAUUUUUUUAGAGUUUAAGAAAGUUUUGAGUGUAGAAAACAGUACAAGUUUUCUUCAAGAAUAUCCCCGCCCUACCAGUCAGAAAUAUUCUCCUUUUAAGGUAAGGGAUAUUAUUUUUGUUCAAUAUUCGUAAGAAAUAAUAUUUUAUUCCAUACUCUGUAUAUUAUUUCGUUUCGUAUUCCUAAUUCUACACUCAUGUUGAUAAGUAUUGCUUCUAUACUCCUUGAAAUUAGUUUAUAUCACUUUCUUGCGAGCUUUUUAGAUAAACAAAACUGAUUUUCAUGAUGAGUAGAUGCUCAUCAGUAUUUUCAGGAUUCAUAUGCAUUUGAAGUGGCCUAGUAAUGAUCUACUAAGUUGUUAUAAAAGUUGUAGAAGAAUACAUGACUCUGUGAUGUCUUUUAAAUCAGGAACUGUGAAAUCAAAUCUAUAGCUCCUUAUGGAGCUUUUGUUGAGAUAGCACCUGGCCGAGAGGUAUGUUUCUCAUUCAAGUUCCACAAAGUAAAUAUGAAUAUGUUUACAUGGUUUAAUAUUGUUUAUACCCGCUUUGAAAUGACUAGAAAAUGUAUCUGCUUGAAGGUUUUUCAUGCCUACACACUUUCAAGUUUCACCUCUCAAAUUUAUAAAACAAAUCUCAAUUUUUUCAACUUAAUAGGAUAAGAACACCAAGUACUGGUAUUCUUUUCUCUUUUUUUUUACACAUCAAUAGAAUAUAUUUUUGUCUAGGGGUUGGGUGAUAGCACAUUUGAAAAUUAAAAAGUUCAAAGUUACCACAGUUUUUCAAUGUCGCUGCAGGGACUUUGCCAUAUUAGUGAGUUGAGCUCAGAUUGGCUGGCAAAGACGGAGGACGUAAGACAAUUAAUAUAAAAUAUAUAGCCUUUUGUUUUUCAAUCUAUUUUUGUGGGGAUCUUGGCAAUUUAAUUCUUUUUUAUUUCUUCGAAGCAGGCUUUUAAGGUUGGAGAUUGUGUUGAUGUCAAGCUCAUUGAGGUCAGAAGCUUGUUAUCCCUUCAUAGAUUAUAACAACAUGAAUAUAUUCAAGUAUUGAUAUUAUGUAUAAUGAAAUGUUGGCCGGUCUUUAUUUUGUAAUAGUUAUAAUCUGCUGUUCUAGAAGCUACCUUACUUCUAGAGAUAGCAUACUCCUUGAUUAGUUUUUCAGAAACGUGCGCCUGUUUGCACACUGAACCAGCGAAUGCUAGGGGAUAACAAAACAUAUUUAUGAAGACCGUGGUUUUUGGAACAUUAUCAGAAUAAAUGAAAAGCGAAAUGAAGCAUGUUCCUUAUCUCCGAGUGUCGAGCUUAUGUAUAUUUUCAUUUCCUCAAGGCUGACCUUCAUCGAGGAUUUUUAGUAUUUUCCACUUAUUUCUUCUUUUUGGAGACUUCUCUCCUCCCUCACCGUUUAUCCUAUCUUCUCUCUAUAGAACUUAUUCUUUUAUCUGAUUAAAGGUGUGAAGCAGUCACAGUGGAUUGCUUUUUCCUACAUUGUUCAUUUGCUGAAUGAGCUUUGUCUGAGUUUUGUGAUAUUGCUUAGUCUGCAUAUGGCUGACAGCCAUCUGGCAGGCCAUCCCAAGUGCCCAACGCCCAAGUUGGUGUGGCAGAGGGUUAUUUUCCUUCUUUUUUCUUUGUUAUGGUAACUUAGUUAUAUAGAAAGCAAUGUCCUCUUCUUUCUUGACAAUCGGAAUAAUUUGCAGCCUUUGAGGUUCUAUUGUCAAUUGCAUCACAACUUCAUGUCAGUUUUGAUGUUGGAUAAUUUUAUCAUUAGAUGAUAGAUCCAAGCAAUUGUUCUGAUUUCAUCUUUCAAUUUUACUGCAUUAUUAAGAAACUCUAAUUGCACAGAAGUUAUUAUAGUGCAUUCAUUUGCUCUAGUAGGAUGGGCCAGAAUUGUUCUAUACUGUCCAUGAUUAUUGGUGUACCAAUGUGACGCUUAUGUGCCGUAUGUAUCAAAUAUAUAUGUAUGUAAAUUAUUGUUUCUAAUUAGAUAAUUAUGCAUACUGCUAUUCAAAUUAUCGAGGCAUUGUAAUAUCUGUUGACGGUAUAUUUAAUGAUUUCUAUGAAAGUAUGAUAAGUAUUUGUAUGAUCUUUGAAGACUUUGUUCUUAACGGUUAUUACUGUCAUGAUUAUACUUAUGGUAGAAGUAAUAGGGAUCUCUUGAUAAUGAUUUGAUUAUUGUUAUAAUUACUCUUUAGCUUGUGGACUUGUAACUCUCUUGUCAAGUUUCUGAUAAUUUUUUAGAGAUAAAUUAUCUUGGUGAUAUUAUCUGGUUUAGACAUCCUGAUUUCUAUAUAAACUUGUCAUUAAAACUAAAAGCAUGUUUUUCAGAUCAAUGAAAAGGGACAACUUCGCCUAAGCCGGAGGGCACUGCUUCCAGAUCCAAAUCCAGAAAAUUCCAAUGAAAAACAAAGUACAAGUAACCUUACCAAGGAUAGUGCAGCGUCGCAAAAAGGUCCUGAUAAAAGCAAACCCAAGAAAGUAUUGAGUACUCCGAAGGAUGGUUUAGCAGAAAGAAACACUGAACAGCCCAAGGGAAGAAGUGUUUAUGUGAAUCCCAUAAACUCCCCUAAAAGCAAGUCAGCUGAAAAUUCUCUCCCAGAGAAUAAGGUUGUUAAAAAAUUAGGCAGUCCUGCUAAAGAUGGACCCUAUAUUAACAAAGAUGGGACAAAGGAUAGUAGCAGUAAACCAGGUAUCAGCAUUUCUGGCAAAAAUGAAAGUGCAUUAAUAAAUGGAGAGGCCAAUGUUGUAUAGCAAAUCUGCAUAUGUUUUAAGUCGGAUCAACUAGCGAGUUAUUUCGGUCAGAAAGAUGGCAGUUGAUCACUUAAUACUGCACCUCGAAUGGAACAAAGGUACGUAUUGCAUUUCUCAGUUGUGCUCUAUGGUUUACUUUUAUUUUAUUAUUGAGCAUCAUAAGAAACAUUAUGAAUUUGAAUCAUCAUAGGAAUUGUAAAUGGUGGGCUAAGUUUCGUCUUGGCUUCUAGUUUUGGUUAUACUUAUACAAAGCAGGUGGCUCAAAUUUAAACUAUGGUUUGCUUUAUACCUUGUUAUUAGUUCAUAUUCUAAAAAUGUAGAUAGCAAAAGUAAAUUAUAACUUUGUUGGUCGUUGAGAAGCUCUCACUUGUUCUACUCUUCAGGUAGAGUUAGUGUGCUUAACCUGUUAAAUUCUGGGUUAGUGAUCUAAUGUUAUGCUUAAAUUAAUAUUAUCAGAUUUCUCAUAAACAAGGAUUCAAGCCCAUACUUUUUCCCUGUUUAUCUUGAUUUUUAUCUUUUCUGUCGUCAAGGAAGACUAUCAAAUACGAACAGAAAUUUAGUCAUCGACUUAGUCUUGACAAUUAUGAUGGUAGCUCCUUUAGCUAAUCAAGAUGUGUGGGAAGCCAAAUAAUCCAUGUUUGACCUGUGAAAGCUUUAAUGUUUCGGGUUGCCCAGGACAAAAAUAUCCUUGUCAAUAUUGAUUAUUCUUAUAUCCAAAGAAUUCCUUAGCCAUCUUGAAUUUUCCAUUUUGGUUCAUUCAGAAGCUCGAACUGAGAAGGAUAGAUUGGCUUAUACUCUUUUUUCACAGGUCAUCAUACUGGCUUACCAAGGCUUAAGAGCAACUAUGGUGUAUAGAGGCCAACUGGGAGAAUGGGAAAGAUAACUCUGUUGCGUCGUGUCUUGUCAUACAGCGAGGCUAACAAUCAAAGGUGAUCAGAUGGUCUAAUACAAGUGUUGCUUAUUCCAUUAGGAUUUUCCAUUUUUGUUCUCGAAUGAGAUUGAGCACUUUAAAGUUGUGGUGGUUUACCAAGUGCUGCUUCAUAGUUUUUUCCCUCCCCCUAAUUUUUCGUAAAAGAAUGCUAUAUUCUCUUCCAGAUGAGUUGAUCAUUGUUUUGUAAUGUUUGUAGUGUAUAACUUGGAUGUAAAGCACCAGUUUCCAUUAACAUCAAGAUAGCAGCGGUUGUAUUUGGAGACAUAAUUUACAAGAUUUUAUAUAUACUGGCCAGUGGCCACACAAGUCAAGUCCUUCCCCCAAAACCUUAUACUGAAGUCGAGUAGGCAACGGAACUUUUAAUACCAAUAUUAUAACCAUGUUCUCUUUAUCAUGAAAAAUUCGAAUUUGAGCUUGAACAUUUAAGCAGACAGAGUUAAAAAUAACGAACUGAGUUUCGACAUAUGUUAUUCAGCUUGCGCUGAAUUAUUGCACCCUUCGAAGUCUAGGCCUGUGCAAAAAAUAAAAAAUGGGUGCAACCGGUAGUAUUUUUCUGAAAUCGGUGAUACCGGUUCGGUAAUUUCUUGAACUGGAGGUAAUUUUUUUUUAUAUUUACCGUCGGGAUUGGGAAAGAUAUUUAUUUUUGUAACGGUAAUUUUGUGUGUUAUUUACCGAUGCAUCGGGAUCAGGAACGGUAUUCACAUUAUUAUGUAUGGUAUGUAUUUUUAUUUUUUAUUAUUAGUAGUUUAUUUUUUUGGUUAAUUGAUUAAUAAAAUAUCGACACACAGGUUGGGAGGUGAUAUCUCUCUACUUGUCAAUUGAUCAAUUUAUCAUGAAGUUAAUUUUAUAGUAACCGAAUUCCUCUAAAAUCUUCUCUCUCUAAGCCUUCCUAACUUCUCAAUUCUUGAUCUCUCAUUUUUUCUCUUUUUCUUUCUAAAACAUUUGUGCUUCUUCUUAACUCUCCACCAUUUUGUAGAUUAAUAUUAACACACACAUAUAUACAUAUAUAUAGAGAGGGAAUAAUGGAUGAUACUUGAGAUUGGAGAGUUCAUGAAAUAACUCGGGUUAAAUCUCAAGUUCAGAAUAAAUCUUGGAUCAAAUCUUAAUUUUUUCCAUAUUUUUCGAUGUGAGAUUGGGGUGUUAUAAACUCUCUCACUUAAAUUUUUGACGUCUUCGUCAAAACCGAUCACACACAGUUCACAUCUCUCUAGCCAUUGUACUUGGGUCAAAUUCUGAGUCCGGAACAAAUAUUAGAUCAAAUCACAAGUUCGAAUCAAAUCAAAUAUAUCCAAAUAAGGCUUUAAAUCACCGAUCCAAUAAUAUCUUCUUGAUUCAUUUUAUCUCAUCACAGACUCACCCAAAAGGUUAUGACUGAAAGUAUUAUUAGUUUCUUAAUUCCUCUUAUAUGUGUGACUGAGAUGUUACAGUCCAUAAAGCAAUAUCGUGCCAUGAUUUAUUCAUUAAGCAGUUUGAAUAAGAUUUCUUCGUUAAGCACUUUGAAUCACGGAAGAUUAAAAUUGGGGGUUUUAGAUAUGCAUGUGUUUCAAUUUUUUGUGUUCAUGAGUUUGUUUUUCUUCUACUUUAAACUAUAAUUUGGAUUGCAUGGUAUCAAGUAUAGUUUCACUAGAACACAAUAAAAAAAUGAAAAUUUAUAAAAUAAACAUUGGUAUAAACGGUAAAUAACCGAAUUAUAUUUGUAUUGAAACGGUACAAAAUACGAGAUACUUUGAUACCGAUAUCGAUAUGCCAUUUUUAAUAAAAUCGAUAACCGAUUCAAACUAAAUCGAACAACUUGGAUAGACCUAAGUAUACGAAUUGCUAGGAUGGGAGAUUUGUUAGUUGUCAUAUUUCACAAUUACAACGUACUUACAAAAUACUCCAAUUUUUAUUUUUUUUUGAUAAUUUAACACACAUCCUCCUUAACCACGGCUAAGAAUUGAACCCCAACUUUAUGAUUAAUAUGAGUUGGGUCAUUAAUUCACAAUAUAAAACUUGCCAAGUUAAUUCUUACAUUAAAAAAACUGUUUUAUUAUUUUAUCAAAUGUUAAUUAUAUUGUAUUUUAACUCUUACCUAUUUACCUAUUCUCAUAUUUAAAAUUGAUAUGUAUUCACUUAAUUUUAGAUAAUAGUAUACAAAUUGUAAACUAUCAAAAAAUACUACUAUUUACGAAAAAAAUUAUUUUACAAAUUAAUUUUGAAAAUUUAAAAAUUAUCUUUUAUAUAUAUCAAGCAUGAGAAAAUUUUGUAUUCUCACUUUUGUCUCGAAUAACAUUAUUUUUUGGUAAAAUUUUUAAAUGUCAAUACCUUAAUAUAAUACACUUCUAUUUUAAUAAUAAUUUUUUACUUAAUAAUUUUAUAAGAGUAUUAGUAUUAAGAAAAUCAUCACAAACAUUCAACUCAAUGAGCACUAAUGACUAUUCAAUGAGUGAUAUUUUAUUCAUUUCAAAUUAUAAGAUUAAUAUUAAAAUUUUAAUUUAAUUUGUGAUAUUUUUAAAUUUUAAAUUAAAAUAAUAUAUUAGAAUUAUAAAAUAAUAAAAUUUAUAUAAAAAAAAUAUUAAAAUAAUUUAUAAUAUUAAUUAUCAUAAUGAUUAAAGUAAAAGAAUUUAAAAUGAUAUUUUUAUAUAAUCACGUGUAUCCUGUAGGUAGUGAUCAUACGGAAAUAUCAGUUCUAUUAUUAUGUACCAAGUACUCCCAAGCCCUCACUCACUCCCGCCACUUUUUUCUUUCUCGGGCCUCUAUCUCCUCCGUUCAGCAUAGUCUCUCUCCGGCUUAGGGUUUGUGUAAAGUGCGAAAAAAUGUUGUGGGUAGACAAGUACAGACCGAAAGCCCUAGACAAGGUCAUAGUUCACGAAGAUGUCGCCCAAAAUCUCAAGAAAUUGGUAAUUACUUUUCCCCUGAAUCCCUUCUCAUUAUAUGUGUGUAGCCAAUACUUUAAAUCUUGGGUUUUGAUGUUGGCUCAUUAUUUCAUGUAUUUACAGGUCACUGAGCAAGACUGCCCACAUUUGUUGUUCUAUGGUCCACCCGGGUCAGGCAAGAAAACCCUAAUCAUGGCAUUACUCAGACAGAUGUUUGGAGCCAGUGUUGAAAAGGUCUAUCUUUGUAAAUUUCCUUUUCUUUUCAUUUAUUAUAAAAUUUAAGCUGGAAAUUUGUGUUGAUCCAUUCUUAAAAGGAAAAAUAAUAACUUGGUAAUUUCUGUGCAGGUGAAGGUUGAGAAUAAGACCUGGAAAGUUGAUGUAAGUUUGCUUCUAUGUUAUUCCUGAUUAUGUUUGCAUUUUUUUCUUUUAUAUUUACACUGGUUUGGUUGAGUGAGAAGGGAAACAGGAAAAGAAAGACUAACGAGUAAAUCAGAAUCAAAAUGAAAAGUUUUUCUAUCAUUUUAUGGGAAUCUAGACAAAAAGUAAAUCAACAAGCAGAUUUAAGAGUUUUUCAUUUGUUUCCCCUCAUAUGUACUUUUCCAAUCACAUUUUUCAUGAUAACGAAAUUCGGAAAAAGUGGGAUCCUUGAGUUUCUUUUUCCUAUAUAUAUGUACCCAAAAAAAGUAACAUGUCCUAUAAACAGGAAUCAGGGGAAUAAAGAGAAAAAAGGUCAAAAAGAUUUUACUUGCAUUAUUAUUAGUGAUGAGAACUUAUAAAAUCAACCAUCCUUUGCUUAGAGUUUGGUUUACCCAAUGCCAGUCAAUAUGUUAAAAGUAGCGUGUACCCUAAACUGAUGUUUGGUAUGACACAAUGACUUUGAUUUUUUUAGCAUUGCCUUAAGCUCACGACUGAUUUAGUCCUUUGUACCAAUUUAUCAUUGUUUAGCCAUUUAAUUUGUUUAUAUCAAUGGUUUCUUUCAGGCUGGAACUAGAACUAUUGAUCUGGAGCUUACCACGUUAUCUAGCACCCACCAUGUGGAACUGAAUCCCAGUGAUGCAGGCUUUCAGGAUAGAUACAUAGUUCAAGAGAUAAUCAAAGAAAUGGCGAAGAACAGGCCAAUUGACACCAAAGGAAAUAAGGGAUUUAAAGGUAAUUUCGCUAAUUGUCUUAUCUAUUAGUUAAUUGCUUUUAUAAACACAGACUAUUUUGUGUAAUGUGCUUUGAAGUUUUACAUAUGAUACAAAGAAACAAACUAGAAUAUCUCACAUCACUAUAGAUUAAUCUAGGGAAAUAUAGUAGAUAAGAUACAAGAAGAAAUCCUAUUGGCAUUAUUAAGUUCUUUACUUAACAGUGUAAAUAAAUAAAUAUGCUUGACAUGAAAAUACAUUAUGUAUAUAUGAAUAUCAAUUGUUCAAAGUUCAAACACAAACUAAUUAAUAUUAAUUUCUUAAAAAUAAAUUUGAGAUAUUUUUAAAUUUAAAUAAAUGUUAUUUUUAAAAAUAAGUGUGAAGUUUGUUGAAUGAGCCAUUUGAUAUUAUUAAUUAUGAAAUUAUUUUUAUUUGUGUAAUCUUAAAAAUUGAGGAUUUGAAGAAAAUGACAAAUAUCAUAUGCUAAGUAUGACUAACAUAUUUUUAACGUAUUAGUUUUAUUUAUAAACAAAAUUGCUAUUAAAUAAUAAAAUUUAAAUUGUCCGUUUAGCCCGCCUAGAGGGAUUUUUUGCCGCCUAGACAAGGCGCCAGAGGGCCUAGCGGCCGCCUAGGUCGUUUUUUAGAACACUGUGUUUCACUUGAUCUGUGUUUAUUGUUUAUAUGUACAAAAAAAGUUUCAUUUGAUCUUUUCUAUGAAACUAUGCAACGAGAUGUUAUUUAAUUUAUUCUACUUUUUUUAAGGUCGAAGAGGCUUAUUAAACUCCAAUAGCUCAUUGGACCAGAGAAAUGUUUAUUUUAAAUAUUUUCCCUACAUUUCAACAUUAGAGGUACAUUUUGACCUUUUAACUCAAUUUGAGAAAUUCUAAAAUUUAAAAUUGAUAUGAAUUAAUUUAAGAUUUGAAAGUAACAAAUAUGGUUACUAAUAUAACUUUUUAGCUGGUAUACAGACUACAGUAGUUAUAUUUGUUUGCACUAAAAUUUAAUAAAUUCGUAUCAAUUUUGAAUUUUUAUAAAGACAAGUCAAAUUCUAAUUUUUAUAAGAGUUUGAGGAUUGUUUUUGAUGUCCUUUUUUUUUGGGUUGAGAAAUUGCUGGGAGGAAAAACCCUGUGUAUUGCUUUUCCACGCUGACGAGUUGUUUUGCUAUAAAAUGUCAGUACUAGUGCUCAAUGAGGUUGACAAACUCUCGAGAGAAGCCCAACAUUCUCUGCGAAGAACAAUGGAGAAAUAUAGUGCAUCAUGCCGCCUUAUUCUAUGCUGCAAUAGUUCCUCGAAGGUGACUGAAGCAGUCCGUUCUCGCUGUCUGAAUGUGCGAAUAAGUGCUCCAAAAGAAGAAGAGGUUAGUGUUAUUUUGCAUCCUUUUAUAGUUGGGGAAAACAAAUCAUGUUUAAUUCAUUUAUAUAAUAAUUGAAAGAACUAUGUAGUAUAUGCCAAUGUUCGAAAAAGCUAAAAUCGGUACGAGGCGUUUUUCGCUGGGCUAUGCGAGGCGUAAGCCUCGAGGCGGAGCGAGGCGGAAGCCUUGAUUUAAAGACCUAAAAGUCUCCAAAAAAUUAUGAAAAAAUACUAAUAAAACCAUAAAAUAAUUCAUCAUUACAAUUAAGGUCAUAGAAGAUAUAAAUAACCAACGUCACAGUAAUGUAUCAUUACAAAACAUCAAAACAACAUAAUAUCAUCAAGUACUUAUAUAGUGAUCAUCCAUCACUAUGUAAGUAAUGUAUCAUUUGUAUCUAGCGGCUUGAAUAAUGGAUCAAAUCCUAGAAGUUAAAAAACCAAAUAUAAGAAUACAAUAUAUGUUAAUCACAACAUAUAUAAAAUAUAUGUUAAUAUAUCAUAUAUGUUAAUAUAUAACAAAUAUAUGGUAAUAAGUUAAAAAAACCUUAACAGAAAUUAAAAUUUUUCAACAGAAAUUAAAAAAUCUUAACAUAAAUUAACAGAGGACUACACUGUUACUUAGCAAACAGAAAAAAAGAAGCAGCUUAAAACAGAGAGUCGAAGUCUGUCGAAGCUGAAAAAGAAGAAGAAAAAAAGAAGAAGACAGUCGAAGUCGGUCGAACUGUCGAAGAAGAAGUCGUCGAAGACUCGAAGAAGAAGAGAAGAAGAAGUCGCAGAGAAAGUCGACAAAGGAAGAAAAGAAAGAAGAAGAAGAUACCUGAAGAAGUCGCAGAGGAAGUCGAAGAAGUCGCAAAGGAAAACUGAAGAAGUCGUCGAAGCCCAAUAAAGCCAAAUCGGUAAGUGAAGUCAGAUAGUUAGAGUUUUUAAAGCCAAAUCGAGGCGCAGGCCUCGCGACGCCUUGAGGCGCACUGCCACGAGGCGUUAGCCUCAACCGAAAAAGGCGCACGUUGCUAGAAUUCCAGAAUAGGCGUACGCCUCGCCUCAACCUUCUUCCGCCUCGCUACGAGGCGCGCCUCGAGGCGCACGUCUCGAGCGCUAUUUCGAACAUUGGUAUAUGCAAUCAGUUUUGAAUUGUUUUACAUGAAUUAACUGAUUCAUGCUAGAGGUGGUAGUUUAUAAUUUUUCACUUGCUUAAUGAUUGAGGUAGAAAGUUUACCGUUUCUCACUUGCCCUCUAGUAUAGUUGGUAAACAUACAUAAACAUUGGUUUCAAAAACCAUAGAAAAGUGUAAAAAGCUUCAUGUAAUCUCUUUUUUAAAGUAUAUUUAUAUAAUAUCUUUUUGCUAGAUUGCUAAAGUUUUGGAAUUCAUUGCCAAGAAAGAAGGGCUGCAACUUCCAUCUGGAUUUACUUCCCGCAUCGCAGAAAAAUCAAAUCGAAGUUUGAGGAGGGCUAUAUUGUCAUUUGAGACUUGCCGGGUCCAACAGUUAAGCUACAUAAUACUCUUGGUUGAUGCUUUAGAAGUGCUAUACAAGUUCUCUCUUGCAGUGCUUUUAUAUAUUUUAUUUUGUACGACAUUUUUUAUAAAGCUUUACUCAUUUUGUCUUUUAGGUAUCCUUUUACAAACAAUCAAUUAAUACCCCCAAUGGAUUGGGAGGUAUAUGUAUCAGAAAUAGCAUCAGACAUUAUGAAGGAGCAAAGCCCUAAAAGGUUAGGCACUGAUCAAUCCUUCUUCAAGUGUGUUUCCAAAGAGCAUUGACACUAUAAAAAGGUUCAUAAAUAAAAUUUAGCAAAAAGAAAUCAUUAUAGAAAGGUUCAUAUUUCCUCUCUUUUUUUUACAAGUAAAUAUGGAGUAGCCUGAUUUUUCUCUCCCUUGCCCUGUUGGGUGAUUUAUCUGGACAUGUAUCAUUUGAAGCUUGUCCAUAAAGAUGAUAUUUUUUAAUGUUAAAUUAGUUAAAAUAGACACUGAUAAUAGAGAAGGUGAGGAUAGAGAUGAAGUGAAAGUAGAACAUUAAGAGUCUGAGAGGGGAGCAAGAGCAGAGCUGUUAAGAGACUAGAGAGUAGAAAACUAGAGAUGUGAAGCAUCAUGAUUACAGGACUCCAAUAUUUCUGAACUCUAUUCAUAUAUAUGUUGCCCUGCUUCACAAUUUUCAAACCUCCUACUUUUGGUUUAAAAGAAAACGUAGGAAAGAUUCGAAAGUCUUAACACACUUUCUCGAGCAUGUUAAGUUGUUAGCACAAGUGCCUGAAUGUUAUUCUUGAGAUCAUCACUGAAUUAUAUAUAAUAAUGGCUAAAGCAUGUCAUUUGAUCUAGUUUUUUUUGGCAGAUCUGGCUGUUUUGGCAUCACUUAUAUUUAGCCCAUACUACAACCCAUGGACCAUAAGGUGGUGGACAUAUUCAAAAAAUAAGAAAAUUCUUAGCAUUCCAUUUGUUCCCAACAAAUAUAUGAAUAUACGACCAAAUUAAUGAUCCUAAAUUGACAUUUUGUUGAUCAAGCCUAAAAAAGCUCACAUCACUCAAGCAUGCCCUACUGUAACUUGGAUGACUGGAAUGGACCUUGCCAGUGAUACUAUGAUACUGAGACAAAACAAUUCACAGCCCUUUAAUUAUUUGACUAUAGUAGAUCUUAAAGGUGUCCCAUGAACUACCAGACAAUUGAAAAUUCUGCUACUUUUCCUGUAGUCCGUUACUUAAUUUCUCACAUCUUUAAAAAUAAUAAUAAUAUAAUAAUAAUAAAAUCUCAAAAAUCUUUAAUCUUUUCUAUAAAAAAAUCUUUCAGUUGAGUUAAUUGCAUAUUUCAGACUUUCAUCAAAGGACUUGUCAACUAUUGAAGUACCAGCAGUAAAUUUAUCCAUGUCUCACAUUUUAAACAAUUGAUCCAUGUAUUGUUACUUUAAUGUUGUAAGUGCAUCCUACUUCUAAUUUGCUUACUAAACACACAUUAUGUUACUAUAGGUUGUUCCAGGUUCGGGGCAAGGUGUAUGAGUUACUCAGUAAUUGCAUUCCACCGGAAAUUAUUUUGAAGGUUAUCAGACUUCUAUUGUUUUUCUAUGUUUUGAUCUUUUUCUGUUCUUGUUUUCCUUGUAAAAUAGUAAUUUACUAAAACCUAAAUGUCCCCUUGCUGUUGGUUUCAGAGGCUGCUUUACGAGUUAUUGAAGAAACUGGAUUCUGAACUGAAGCAUGAGGUUUGCCAUUGGGCUGCAUAUUAUGUAAGUUAAUAUUGUGAUCUGCCUCAGUUCAAUACCUGUUUUCAUAUCAUCUUAUAAACCUCAUCUUUUUCACAUUCAUAGCAUAGCCAAUUGACUAAGAUGGCUAGAUCCAAAACUUGGCUAUUUCUUGGUCUUAAUCAUUUUCAUUGGGUGAAAUUAGAGUAUUUUUCUUACAAAUGUUGCUAGGACGAUUUAGCCAGCAUUGAGCCCUAAUAUUAAUACUGCUGCUGAAUUUUGCGGACGAAGAUUGAUUAUCCUGCAUGCAUCUGCAAUGCAAGCCACCCUAAAGUGCAGGUGUUGGCACAUUCUUUGCCUGGUAUUGACAGUAGAAACUUAAUUACUUCAGUUUUUUGGAAAGGAAAAGAAGAAAAGGGGAGAUAUAUUGAUAUUUACUUCUUUUGUUCCAAUUAACUUGACUAUAUUAGGCUUAUUAGCCUCAUGAGUUAUGAGUUAUGCUUGAAAACCUAAGAGGGAGUUAAAAUUGUGGACCCCACCAUUCCACAUAAAGACCAAAAGUUCCUUUGAUUUACUUUUGGGUACAAGGGGAAGAAAAAAAAAAGUAAAGAAAAUUAGAGUUGAUAAUAAUUAUCUUUCUUAAACUAGGCGCCAAGUUAAGAGUGUAUACUAAAAGGGGACAGGAGGGAGUCACAAAUACUCGUAAGAUUAUAGUUUUUGUAUUUUACUGGGUAUUGAAUACAUUCACAUCUAUUGCUUGGAAUCACAAAUCUUUGAUGCUGAUAUCGAAUCUUGUACUUCUUGUUGAGUGCAGGAACAUAGGAUGCGUCUUGGACAGAAGGCCAUAUUUCACAUUGAAGGUACCACAUUAUUUUUAUGAAAUCUUCUAAUAGUUAGUUUGCCAGAUAUAGGCACACUAUUCAAGGUCAACAAAAAAAAUUAAAUUGUUCCAGUUGAACCUUUUUCCCCCCUUCCACCCUUGGAAUUCAGCAGGUUAUUUCCUUAAUACUUAGGCAUCCAGCUAGGGUUUUUUAACUUCUCUGAACAUGUACAAAAACUGCGAUUGGAGACUGGUAGAAGAUUAGUUGAAUGUUCUUCAAGGGUUUGUAUACCUCCGUUUCCCAAGAAAAUACAUGGUAGCCAUAUAGAAACUGAUAUUGAAAAACAGUGGUUGUUGUGAUAUGUAGCGGACCGAAGAUGACGCAUGCCAAGAAAUAGUAAUGUGAUUAUGUGAAGUUCCCACUUUGUUAACUGAUGCAUGAAUACUCCAUUCCCAUUUUCAAAUAAAACCAAAAGAGAUUAUAUUGCAGCCUUAAACAAAGGAUUGGUUUGAAGUGCAUAUUCGUAAAACAAUGGACUAUACUAUUUCAAUCUCGAGCUAUUUACAAGUUGUCAUCUAAAAAAGCACCCUUAUUUACAUUACAUCCCAUCUUUUUUCUGUUGUUUAUCGAGGAAAGGUACAUAAAAAGUCAAUUGAGUGGCUUUUUCUCCCAUUUUGCUGUUUUUCUUCUUAUUCCCCCCGCGUUUUUCUGCAAGUCUUUCCUUAAUAGAGGUGCAUCCAAUAAAUUCAGUGUGAUUCAUCUAUUGAGAAACCCUAAAUCUAAUCAUUUGGGUGACGACUUUACUUGUUUCCUUAGCCCCAUUAGUUGAUGUGCCCUUUGGAAAUAUUUACACGUCCCAUAAGCAUUAGCACCUUUCAUUAAUAGCGCUAUUAUAUGUUUCAUCAUUACUGAAUUUCCAUAGAAGCGCGCUCUACACAUUGAGGGGCUUAGCUAUUAGUAAUUCUCAAAGUCAGCCUAUAAGUAGCAGAACUCCAUCUUCAUCUUCCCCAUGAAAUGUGGUCCUUUUUAAUUUAGCCAUACCUGCAGGGUUUACCAUGUUGUCCCCAAAUUUUUGGUGGUGCUUUGGCCUCGGAUUUUUGUUACAGAUCUCUUUUUGGGUGAUUAUUUUGUCUCAAUCCUCAACCAUGGAUAUGCGCUCUUUAUACACGUAUGCUGUCUCGAGUUGCAUGUAGGACUGAUGAAGAUCUUUGAAGUCGCAUGGCCAUAAGCCUUGGCAUAUUUAGGAAUCUUGAGUUUGUAUUGUAGCGCUUGUCCUAUGAUCUGCCACAUGUCCUUGGGACACAUCAUCGUAGCUUUAUUCUUUGCAUCACUUGCAUGUUCUUUGCUUGAACAUACAUAGCGUAUAUAUGUUUCCAUGGCAUGUCGAUGUUUCUUAAGACUUUUGUUUCUCUCUCUAAUCUACCAAUUUUUUUUCUUCUUUAUAUUCUAAGUUUUAAAUUGUUAUAUUUUCACUAUUAAAGACAUCACUAAAAUGAAAUCAGAAAAUGGAUAUUAUUCUUGGAGCUGGCUGGAUUUACAAGCUUUUUAAUGUUUUGUCCUUUGGUCGACUCUUCAGCAUUUGUAGCCAAGUUCAUGAGCAUUUAUAAGGGUUUCCUUAUUGCAACAUUCGGCUGAGGAGAGGUGUAACCUGUCGGUGCAGCAAGUCGUCAUCUUAUGAGCCAUGGGCUUUCCAGGUCCAUUUGCUAAGAAUGUCAUCUUGUGCUACAUCAUCGGGGUGGUGAACUUGAAAUUUGGCUGAUACAAUUUGGUUAUUGUUGUUGAUGAAUUAGUUUCUUAUUUCAUUUUUUACUCCUGUUUUUUCUUUAUGGUCACUGUUUUAAGGAGUUGUCUCUCUGGUAUACUGUUUGGUCCACAAGAGGAAGAGUAAUACAAGUCUAUUUCAACGAGACGAGAGUACUUGGCUAUUUAAAUGACUUCAUAAAAUUGGACAUUGCUAGUGUUUUGAUAAGAAUGUGUAAUAAAGAGCCAAUGGAGGUUCUCUAUGCUCUUUUUAAAAAUAGAUAUUAAAUGUAAUAUCUGAAUAUAAUAUUUUACUAAUUUUUUUCUUCAAGUUUAUAUAAAUUUACGGUGGGGAUAAAAUUAUAAUGAAUAUUAAAUAAUUAAUUUAAAUAAAAUUACUAAAAAUUUAUAAUUGGUAAAAUAUUUGAAGUCUAAUAAAAUAUUAUAAUAAUUGUGGUGAUGGUGGGUGGCAGGUGGUGGUAUGCAAAUGGUCAUGGUGAUGGUGUUGGUGGUGGUGAAGGGGUUGUGGGUGGUUAUAGGUGGUGGCGGCUGAAGUGAAUAAUUAAAAAAAUAAAAUUAAGGGGUAAAAUAAUAGUUAGAAAUUUUUUAUUGACUCAAUAUCUUCUCUAUUUAUAGAGACGAGAUGUUGCUAAAGUUUUUUACUUUUUAUCAAACAGUUUUAGUCUCUUCACAGAAAAAUAAAAAAUAAAAUAAUAAGAAGCUAUUAAACGCUAUCUUAUAAUUAAAGCAAUGACUUUUAAAGCACAUGAAUAUCCUCGCGGCAACAGAUCUAAAAAUCUACAUAUUUAUCUUCACCUCAAAAUAAAACAAGAAAAAUUAAUUAAUAAACAAUUUCGUUAGCAGAAAAAAGAGAGGAGAAUCUACAGUUACUUUAUUUGAAGUUUUAGUAUAUUACAAUAAUAACACUAAUUUUUAACUCAUAAAGUUUAUUUGCAGAAAUUACCCCACACAAAAAAAUAUAUAUAUAUAUUUAUCGGGAGAAAUUACCUAUUUUUGGAAAGAAAAUCUGAAAAACUAAACAGAAAGAAGAUAUCAAUUCACACCGUCUUUAUCGAAUCUCCCUCUUUCUCUCUUAUGGCGGAAAACGAAGAAGAAGGUUCAAAAGUCAACGACCCUUCACAGCGUUCUGUACCCGUAUGUCAUCGUUGUCCCUGUCUAAUUUCUGAUGUUUUCCUUUUAUUAAUUCCAAUGUCUGACUUCUUUUCUUAAUUGAAAUUACAUUAAUUUAAUUAAAUUCUUUCAAAUAUUUCUGGAUUAAUUCCACUUUUUGUAUCAUGAACUAGUAUAUGGAAGUAGUAUGCACGAGUUCAGGCAAAGUUAGGCGAUUUGCAGCUGGAACUGAUGCUGGUUUUGCAUUGAAUUUGAUAAACAAAAAGCUUGAUGGUGGGAUUCCACUUGCCUCCCAUAUUGAAGCUGUUAAAGAAGGGGAGGGAGAACCCAUCAGUUUUGGCCCUAAUUCAGUUCUUGUGGAUUACGGUUCAGGUUGGAAGUUGCAGACCGUUGCUGUUCUAGAAGGUGCUCUUCUGUGUUUUUUUUUGGAUUCCAGUUCCUAUUUCAUUUUUUGAAAAAGUUUUUCUACAACCAACAGAAAUAUUUAAACUUAAAAGAGUUUUUUUUUAGUUAUUAGAAUUAACACAGUAAGUACUUGUUUACUUACCUGGUUGAAAUCUGUACGAGGGGCUAAGUAUAGGAGGUGGUCAAAAGUUCUUAGUUCUGACUUCGUGUGAAUAUUUGAAGCAGGACAUAGAAAAGGGGAAGAUAUUCAGAAAACAAUUAAACAAGGCAAAUCUGUGAAGGUACAAGUUUUCAUAUUUUUUGCCUUAUGAUUUUGUUUUCUUUUAUUCAGUUCUGCAUUAAUGAUCCUCCAAAACAUGACGACUGUUGCCUCCUUUAUAUACUUGAUUUGAUGAAUGGAUUCGUGGAAAUGUGUAAUCACUUGUUCAUAUGCUAGGUUGCUGGAAGUCAAAACAUAGUAAACUAUACGACGGUUGUGCUAGUUCAUAGGAAACCCUAGGAUUGUCUUAUUUUUUUGAGGGGAAACUCUAGGUGUUUAUGCCAAUUUACGUUUUCUAUUCUUUAUAUUCUUGAAGGAAGUGAGGAUUGCUUUCAUUAGGUCAGAUGAAGUUCGCUCGUGAUAUUAUUGCAUGCAAAGUUAUUUGGUAGGUGGUGGAGGUGGUGAACCCAUGGCUUUUGAAUAUAUUCAGAGAACAUCCAUUAACGGAAGAGUUCCCAAUCAAACUCUAGCAAUGCAGCAGGUUUACUAUUCCACAUAAUAUAACGGCUUAAUGACAUUUUUGUUCCUCUAAGUUGUUACCGAAUGUCAUAGUCGUCCUUAAAGUUCAUUUUUUCACCAAUCGAGUCCUUAAAGCGGCUAAUUGGUGUCAAUUUUGUUCCUUUUCUCAAUUUUCACCUAAAUCCGUCCAAAAUUUGACCCGACCCAUAUUUUAAAGGACAAAUUUGUCAUUUUCUCUUUUCAAAUAUAGUACAUAUACUAAAAUUAAAACAAACUAAAUACACUAAAUACAUGUACAUAUAUGAUGUAUAUACGUGUGUAGCAAUCAGAUCUAGCAGCGGAGAAGAAGAUAUUACUGCUCGAUUCGAUCGUAUGGAAGUCAUCGAUAGACAAUAGAUCGAGGAGAGCGUCGGCGGCACACCAAAUCUAGCAGCGACGGAUCUCUGUCUUACUCGGUCAUUCAGUCGUCGCCUCAACCAACCCAACCACCACUUUCACCACAUUAAACACUAUUGCCGCCUUCUGCAAGGCCCGAACCUUCGUCAACGGGGAAACUUGGGUCCUAUAUCUUCAUUUUAAAACAUGGGUCGGGUCGAACUUUGGACGGAUUUAGGUGAAAAUUAGGAAAAGGAACAUAAUUGACACUAAUUAGUCACUUUAAGGAUGACUUUGAUAUUCGAUGACAACUUAGAGGGACUGAAGUAUCAUUCAGCCUAAUAUAUCCAUAAUUGCCAAAGCUACAUUUUAUGAGGUUUUCCUUGAGAGAUAGAAAGGCUGAUGAGGUGGAUUCCACAUUUCUUGAUUUAUCAUUGAUGAUAUUGGAGCCUAAAGAAUAGAUGAAAACAUUGUCAAAAAGAUAAUACCAAUCGCAAUCAAGUAUGGUAGAAAUCAAGAUAUCUUAUUUUACAUAUCUUUAAUCUAGUUCUUUUAUCUUGCGAGAACCUAGUGAAAAUAAAGUUCAAACCUUAUGAAAGACACUAGCAUCUUGUAGUCAUUCCUUGAUCAGUAGCCCUAGCUACCCUUCAGAAUGACUCAUAGAGAAUAUUAAAAAUGUACUUGAGCCGAAAGCUGUGAUAUGAACUUCAUGGGAAUCAGCUUUUUAAAUAGUAUAUAUUUAUCAUUUGCAGGGUAUCGAGGGUUCCCAUCAUGCAAAGAUGGCGUCACAACCAGCAAUCAGUUUGUCAUACAUUGGAAAGAUAUUGCUUGCUUUUCUUUUGAUUUUUGUGCUUGGGGCAAUUUUCACAUUAGCUCUGGAGAACCUUCCCGCACUGAUCUUGUAUAUCAACUCCAAUAUGUAACUUUACUGUUGUUUAAAAUUUUAUUUAUAAUUCCAGCAGACUGUGUCUGAAUGCCAUGGGGAUAUUCGUUGUUUAAAUUUUUACUUAUAAUUUACAUGUUUUGUGAGUUUGAAAACGUUUCAAAUUUACUUAAUGAACAGAUGAAAUAUUAAGUGUAUGGAAUAACAUAUAUUUUUGGAGCAACCAUAACUCAACAAGCAAACGAAUAAAGAAGCUUUAUUGGAUGGAAGAACAGUAAAGCACCUAACUAGCCUAAUUUUUCUGUUUGCAAUUAUUUAUGUUUUGCACAACAAAAGGAUGGUGCAACAGUUGCUCGGUGGUCCAUCUCUUUGUAGGAUCUCUCUGCAGACAGACUGCUAUGAAAUCCUGAAACUCCCUUGAGACUCCUCAGGCGUCUCUGUCCCACAAAUUGCGUCCACAAGGCUCCCCCAAUCCGUAUCCAGCACAACCUCAAAAGGGUAGGCACCUGAAUAGACCUGAAGAAUGCAUAACCCGAGGCUCCAUAUAUCUCCUGCAUACCCAUCAUAUAGUCCUCCACUAUACAGGUCUGUGCUGAUUCUCUCAGGACUCAUGUAAGCAAUCUUGACCUCUUUUCGAUAGUUGAUAAGUAGAUUGGAAGGCUUCAAAUCUCUGUGCACAAGCUUUCGAGUAUGGAGGUAGGACAAUGCAGAGAGGAACUGAAAAGCGAUAUUGGCAACUUCUUUUUCAUGGUGAAUGUGGCUGCCUUUGAGUGAUCCGCCGUCCAUAUAAUCAAACAGGAUAUGAAAUUCUAGUUGGAUAUUUUCAAAUAUGAAAAGUAUAUAAUAAAUAUAUUAUAUGUUGUCUUUAUAACCAAAAAUUAUGUUGGUUCAAUUGGCAUGGCUUGAUGAAGGGUUGCAGCAGUGAUGUUAUGGAUUUUGUUGAAUUAAAAUUCCUGAUUUUGUUGUGCCAAUUGAAUUGGACCGUUGCAUGACUUUGUUGUGCUGAUUGAAUUGGACAGUUACAACGGAUUUAUUAAAGCCCAAGUCACAAACCAAUGCAAUGGUUGAAGUCUGCACAUUACAGAAUCUAUACAUGGUGUUUGAUGCCUCUUUUAUUUGACAAAUCCCCCCAAGUGAAUCGCUCAAAAUCAUUCCGUUGUUCUUAGAAAAAAUUAUUUCUACAUAAUGAAUUUAAUAGUGAGUAAAAAAUUAGGGGCGAAUAUAAUAUUAUUGUUCUACAUUUAACUAAGAAACGGGUACAACUUGCAACAAUUCCCUCUUGGUUGAUGAAGCCGUGGCAGUUGACCAAGUUUGGGUGGUGGACGUGGCGGAGGAGCUCCAUAUCUCGAAGGCAACGCUGGCGGAAUUUGAUCAAGGAAUCAUCGGUCUUGGCGGUAUUAAAAAUACGUAAAGCGUAGAGCUGGCUAGUGGGGUGGUGGAGGACUUUGUAGACGGUGCUGCUUCCACCGCCGAUUUGGUUGAUAUGCUCCAGCUGAGAAAAACUUAUUGACGGCUGUGAAGUGGAUUUUGUGGGUGAUUGAGUGGAGUUUGUAGGUGGCGGAGAUGAAAAUGAGGAAUCUAAAGGGAGUGGAGGAAUGGUUAGGCUGAACUUGAACGUUGAUUUUGGAUUCAUGACUUCACUUGUCUAUCUUUUCUUUUCUUGGUGUUUGGUGGUCUUGUGACUUGGGGUGGGGUGGGGUGUUUGUAAUUUCUGGUGACACAGUUUGCAGGUUUGAUUUAUUGUUCUUUCGUCCAAUCUCCACUCCGUGGAACAAGUCAGUGUGUGUGUGACUGGGGGAUCAAGAAAGAAGACUUGACCAUUUGACUACCUGCCAUAUAAAAUAGAAUAAGCUUGAAAACUUCGCUCAUCUUUCUUGGAAUGUAAUAUAGUAUGUAUCAUAUAUUUGUCAAAAUGAGGUUUACUCUUGAAACCAUUGUAUUAAACUUCAUAAAUAAAUCUCUUGCUCCCUUCCGCAAUCAUUUGAGGAGUUUGAUACUAGUUAUUUUUCUAAAAUUUGCAAAUUUAUUUUAAUUUUCAAAAUAACAAUUUUGUACUUGGUAAUACUUUUUAAAGUAAUUUACAAUGUCGAAAAUAAAUUUUAAAUUUUUAUAAAAUUGACUAUAAAAAGAUUAUUUUUAUGAAACUGAUGGAGUAUCUGGUUAUUAUAAACUUUAAUUCAUUGAAGGGGUAUGUCCCAUUUUAAGAAAUGUUCGGGAAGCCAAAAACAGGCAACUACUUCCAAUAUCAAUCUCUUCAAGUGACUCUGCACUAAACAUUGAACAAAUGUCACCCACUUCAACACAAAUGGUACAAUUUAAAAACUCCAAGCAGAAACUCCUACCAAGAAAUGCUGUCAUUUUCAAUUUGCAUAAUCUACAAUGUGAACAAGUCUAUGCCAUCGGCCCAUGUUACAUGUUAAAUGCCCUCCCACAUUAUUCAGAACACUUAAUUCUUUGUUCUUUCUCUCUAUAUUUGCUUCUUCUGCCCUUUAAAGGCAGAAAGUAUAUGAGAUUACAUACAAUAGAUUGUAACCGGUACAUUACAGAUUUACAGGUUAGGUGAAAAAGAAUAUCUAACAUCUGAAGCAUACAGCAGUUCCUUUCCUUCAGUAAGGCCAGAUAAGAAGACAAGUGAGGAUUUCCCAUGUUGGACAAGUAUCCAUUCCCUAAUUCGAGGAGCUUGCAGAUUUGAGGUAGAUUUCAUCCACAUGGACUGCAGGUACAUAAACUGCAUGCUGUAGUGUGCUGUGGGUGCGACCAUAGAAAGCAUAGACAAAAACUCCUACCAUGAGCCAUAUUGACACACGGGUCCAAGUGGCAACACUGAGGGUUUUGAAUAAUUAUCACAUGAGAACUAGGAACUAAGAAACACUACAAAAUGGUUGUUAUUGUUGAAUAAGUCAUUUGGCAGAAAGACGGAGNNNNNNNNNNNNNNNNNNNNNNNNNNNNNNNNNNNNNNNNNNNNNNNNNNNNNNNNNNNNNNNNNNNNNNNNNNNNNNNNNNNNNNNNNNNNNNNNNNNNNNNNNNNNNNNNNNNNNNNNNNNNNNNNNNNNNNNNNNNNNNNNNNNNNNNNNNNNNNNNNNNNNNNNNNNNNNNNNNNNNNNNNNNNNNNNNNNNNNNNNNNNNNNNNNNNNNNNNNNNNNNNNNNNNNNNNNNNNNNNNNNNNNNNNNNNNNNNNNNNNNNNNNNNNNNNNNNNNNNNNNNNNNNNNNNNNNNNNNNNNNNNNNNNNNNNNNNNNNNNNNNNNNNNNNNNNNNNNNNNNNNNNNNNNNNNNNNNNNNNNNNNNNNNNNNNNNAGGGGGGGGGAAGAUCAAAUUAGUAUAUUCUUCGAAGUGGUGUCUCCCAUUGUAAUAUAAUAAACCUCAAAUGUGGAUAAUGUACAAAGUUUGUUUUAUUUUCUAUAAUAGUGGCUAAUAUAUGAAAUUUAGUUCUACAUAAGUUGAGAAACAUUCACCCGAGAUUGAUCAACAAGUAGACAUUGAUAAGAAUGCAGACAGUAGGCAGGAGAGGAACAAACGGGCAAAUGAACCCCUGCAAGAAGAGAAGUGAUCUAUAUAGUUAUGCACUUCUUGACAAAUGCUUAACUUAUACCUGCCAAUUUUAAAAUGUUUGAUAGAUGGGGACAACCCAUGAUAUUGUUCUAGGUAAUCUCAAUAUCUGAGAUUAUGAAUGAUGACUUAUAAUGACGAGAACAAACGCCGGAAAUGAGCUAAUUAUAGUCAACCUCAAAUAAUAACUCAACAAAAUCACAACCUCAUGUUUAUAGGUGGAAGGAGGUAUACCUCCUGUGUGCCCAAAGUUGUGUCUAGCAUCAUCUUGUUCUAUACUGGUGAGCACUGCCAGACCACUCAAAAGAAGAAUGCCACCAAUUCCGCAUAGUGUCAAUCACAGAGAACUGAGUAAAAUCAAUAGUUUAUGAAAAUGUGUCCCAGAAUCAGUUGUAAAAUACGGUUUAUCAAAACAGCAUAUCGUUACGCUCUCUCUAUGAUACAUAAAUAAACAAGUGUCAAGAAAUACAUGUCCGAAUCACUUGACUGAAAAAUUGGAGAAUAACCCACCUAGGUAGGCCAAUAGUUGAAGCAGCCAACGUAAGGACAAAUGCUCCGACACAUGCAAGCAUUAUGGUCCAGCUAGCAAUUCUUCUCCUGUUCUCCUCAUUUAAGAUGACUACAAAAAAAAAAUGAAGUAAACCAGUUUGGCAAGUCCCGUAAUAAAUGGCGAAACACCUACAACUCCUUGGCCAAUUGAUGAGCACCAGGAGAUGACUUAGAAUGAACAGAAUCAACCUGUUUUCUCCUAAUCAAACUUUGGAACCCAAAUAAUCCCUGUCCUCUUCCUUUGCCACCCUUUUGUGGAUCAGAAAGGAAACCUAUAAGAAUUUAGCAGGUGGGCAUUCGAGAAUUUAGGUUGAUAAUCUUUAUGUAAUGUUAUCUCAAGGUACGAAGUUAGGUGGCUCACUGGCUCUACUAGCACUAGUAAGGGUGUAAUAACCGAAUCUAAGAGAAACAGGCAGCAACCAGCCAAGAACCUGCCCGCCGGAUUCAAAGGCCAAGAUAGAUUCCUAAAGAUUCAAGCCCAAAGCCUUUGAGAGGAGAUUCAACAAAGCUAGAUUAUAGACCCGGAAAGAAACGAAAAGAAAAUCACUUCCCUCCUCUCUGCAGGCUAGGUGCUAGAUUAUUUUUCAUUGGAGUAGUAUAAUUAACGGCCACCUAGCUUAAGCUGCAGUGGAGAUUUAAUUCAUGAUAACUAGUAGUUUGACAAAUUCCAGUAUUUUUACUAAUUUUUUAGUACAAAUGAAAAGUACUACCACCUCCUAUAAUAAUUUAAAUAAUUAAAAAAAGAGUAAAAUAUAUUGACACCCUCUGUAGAUAAUCAUAAUAACACUCAUCAUCCUUUUAGUCAGUACCCCUCUAAUCUACAAUAUGUAAUAUUAACUACCCCUAGUGUGGUUGACCAACUAAUAUUUAAAAAUAUUUUUAAUAUAAUGUCUAAUACACCCUUCAAGUUAUAAUGUUUAAUUUCUCUACUAAAUAUAAAUUUGUAUAUCAUAAUUUUUACUUUACUUGAUCUAAUUAAUUAAAUUAUGAAAUUGUGCAAUAAAUAACAUAAAAGUAAAAAAAUAAUAAAUAUUUAUUUUAUCAUGAAAAUAAAGGCAUACCAUUUUUACUAAUUAAAUUUCUCAAAUAUUAAAAUUUACGUGAUAUAUAUUCAAAUAUAUUUUUUUGUAAUUAAAAAGUAUAAUGUUAAUACCCAUAAAAAUUACAAAUUAACGCAAUAAAAUAAUAAUAAUUUUUUUCAAAUAUUAAAAUUUACGUAAAACAAACUUAUUAAACGAAUUUUAUUACUCAUAUAAAAAAGUAUUAAAAAUUAUAUUAAUUAUUUUUCUCAUAUAUUAAACUAAACAUAAGUCACACUUAAACAUGAUUAUUUACAGUAAAAAUGACAAAUGUUGUUACUAAAAUAUAUAUAUAUAUAUAUAUAUAUAUAUAUUAAAAGAUUUUUUUUACAAGAUAGAUGUAGUAAUAAAUAUAAUUAUAUAUUUUUAUUUAACAUUGCAUUAAAACAACAUCAACUGUAUACUAACAAAAUGUAAUCAAAAUCAUAAACAUCCCAAUUUUUUAUAUAUACUCAAUAAAAUUUAACAUAUAAAAAUUAUAAUAUGAAACUAAAAAUUCAAAUAAUAUUUUUUGUUGUUAAGCACUAAAAACUAAACUAUCAAUAUACUUAAUCACUCUAAUUAUAAUAGCUUCAUUAAUAAUUUAAUUUAAAUUUUUUUAAUAUUUGUAUCACUUAUCCAAAAAUAUGUGUUAAUUAAACUAAAUUAAUUUUUUAUAAGUUACCAAUAAUUUAAAUGAGAUAGUUUUAAUUACAAAUAAAACUAUAAUAAAAAUGUAUUGUAUUAAAAAAUGAUAAUUAAACACAUAUAUAUAUUAUUUAGUAAAUAAAAUUUGAUAAAAUACAAGGGUAAAUAUGUAACUUUAUCUAUUUAGUCAACCCUAAAAACUUGCAGGGGUACUAACUGUUACUUAAAAAACUAGAGGGGAGGUAAAUGUUAUUAUAAUUAUCUAGAGAGGGUGUCACUGUAUUUUACUCUUUAAAAAAACAAAAGUAUUUCACACGCCUUUGUUUCAAAAACAAGAAUCUUAUUUAUUUGUAAAUUUUAAAAAUUAUAGUUAUAUAUGUGAGCUCUAUAUUUAUGUUUAAAAAAUUGAGUAUUCAGUUUGGUAAUGACGUGUAAUAUUGAAAAUAUUGCGUCAUUCUACUAAGUUCAUAAAAAUAAUCAAAUAUAUAUUCAACCAUCCACAUGAAAUAAUACAUUUUUGUUUUGACAAUUUUUUUUUUAUCUCAAAUCGAACACACCACACACCACUCUAACUUCCAACCUCAUGGUAAACAUAAAUCGAGUCAUACCACUGGGCCAAAAGUCGGAGACUAGUCACUACAAUUCCAGCUUCUUUUUCAAUUCACAACCACUUUUUUUUUUGAGUCCUUUACAUAAGUAUACAACAAAUAGAAAGUAAUUACAAAAAAGUGCAUCAACUAAAUAAUUACAAAAAGAGUGUAAUUAAGACUCAUAUUACAAAAAUAGUACAAUUCACAUUAAUAAAGAAACCUAAAAUCAAGGAUAACUAAUAAUUCAAAUUCAAAUUCAAAUCUUGUCUCUAACAACAAUUUCAAAUCCAUAUUUCAAAAUUCAAAUCAAAAUGAGAAAAUUAAAAAUAAAAAAUUAUGAAGGAGCUAAUGUUCAUCAUCCUCCUCUCUCGCCGCCNNNNNNNNNNNNNNNNNNNNNNNNNNNNNNNNNNNNNNNNNNNNNNNNNNNNNNNNNNNNNNNNNNNNNNNNNNNNNNNNNNNNNNNNNNNNNNNNNNNNNNNNNNNNNNNNNNNNNNNNNNNNNNNNNNNNNNNNNNNNNNNNNNNNNNNNNNNNNNNNNNNNNNNNNNNNNNNNNNNNNNNNNNNNNNNNNNNNNNNNNNNNNNNNNNNNNNNNNNNNNNNNNNNNNNNNNNNNNNNNNNNNNNNNNNNNNNNNNNNNNNNNNNNNNNNNNNNNNNNNNNNNNNNNNNNNNNNNNNNNNNNNNNNNNNNNNNNNNNNNNNNNNNNNNNNNNNNNNNNNNNNNNNNNNNNNNNNNNNNNNNNNNNNNNNNNNNNNNNNNNNNNNNNNNNNNNNNNNNNNNNNNNNNNNNNNNNNNNNNNNNNNNNNNNNNNNNNNNNNNNNNNNNNNNNNNNNNNNNNNNNNNNNNNNNNNNNNNNNNNNNNNNNNNNNNNNNUGGACAGGAGGAGGAGGAGGAGGAGGAGGAGGAGGAGGAGGAGAAGGGAAACAUAAAUAAAGUGGGAGAAAAUUGUGGGAGAGAUGGGGAGAAAAUUGUGGGAGACAUGGUUGAGAAUUAAAACACAUCCCAUAAUUAAAGGAAUCAUAAAUAUGUACUAAUAAUGAAAAUAAAAUUUUUAAGAUAUAAAUUAUAUAAAUAUUUAAUGAGGGCACUUUUCUUGUAAUUAUAUUUUUAAAUGUACUAUAAAAUGUAAUUGUUUCUUUUUUUUUUUGUUACAGCUACAAUUCCAACAUCACUGAGAACAUUACCGAUAAGCAUUUGGAACGUUUCGGCCUCUGCAGAAAUAUUGUGAAAUAUUAAACUAUUAAAUUUACUUGUAUAACAAAGAAAUUGAUAAUGUACACUUCUUGACAGUCCAAGACAAACUGUACAGACUGCACUUAAAUGCACAACUCCUACCGUAUAAUAUACUAGCAACAGUCCCGUGUCUUCGGCGCUGUAUGGACGGUGAGAUUUAUUCCAAAUUUUGGACGGCCCAGAUAAUUUAUUAGGAUGAGUUGAAAAUUCAAAAUCAUUUGUAUAUAUAUAUAUAUAUAUCCUCCCUCCUAAAGAAGCAGUACUAUUUCUUUAGGUCGGAGAGAGUACUAAAAAUUAUACAUGGAUUUGAAUACGUUCAUUACCGUACAACAAAGAUAUGAUUCUUAAACUGUAAAUGUUAAACCUCAGGUGCUCUUGUUGGGCACCUUGUCGAAAUAACUUCGUGACGAACUGCAAUUUAUAUCAUCCAAAUCAGCAGUUGGCACACAAACUGCAUUUAACAGUAAGCUGUGUGUUCUACCGUAGAAUGUGUAGAGCAGUGCUCCUGCUACCAGCCAUACAGACACAUGGCUCCAUGUGCUAGGUCUGAGAAUUAACAUUACAACAGUAUCGUAAAUUAAAGACAGUCAUAUGAGGGAGUGAGAAAGUGAGAGAGAGAAAGUAAUUGACUGGAAGGAAGCUCCCCCAAGAUUUAUCAGCAAGUAUGUGUUUAUGAGAAUGCAGGCAACAGGUAAGAAUGGAACAAAUGGGCACUUGAAACCUGAAGAGAUGUCAACAAAUGAUAUCAUAAAUCUCGGCAGAUUCUUCUAAUUAUGAAGUAUAAGAACACACUACAAAAAAUAUUUCAAAAAUAUAAUCCGACAUACUGAAUAUAAUCUCAAUCAAAUAAAAAGAAACAAAAAAGUUUACAUAUAUAUAUAUAUAUAUAUAUAACAAAAUACAAUGAUUUUGAAUUUCCCGCUCAUCUUAAUAAAUCAUCUGAGUUGUCCAAAGUUUGGGAUAAAUCCCACCGUCCAUAGUGCCGGAGGCAUGGGACUGUUGCUAGUAUAUAUAUAUAGGGUAGUGAUCCAUAGCAAACGGUUGUUAUCGACAUUAUUCCAACAAACAAAACUUAAACCGUUAAUCAGAGAUCCAACGGCUUAAAGAGAAAUUUUUUUGUUGGCCGCUACCUUUAGUCGCAGCUAAUUUUAUUUUUAUUUUGUUGGUCUCUACUAAGAGUUAAGGCCAUGAAAAAUGUCUAAAACACCCCCAUUUUAGUUAGAUUUAAAAAGUUUGUAAUGUAUAAAUAAUUUUUAAGUAACAAAAUUUAAAAUUGUCAAUUAUAUUCAAUGUAUGUAUUUGUAUGAAUAAUUUCUUAAGUAAUAAAAUUUAACAUUAUCAACUAUAUUUAAUGUAUUUAUUUUUAUAAAAUAAUUGUAUAAAUAAUUUCUUAUGUAAUAUAAUUUAACAUUGUCAAUUAUCGUGACAAUUUGAUUAUUUGAAAUUAAACUCCAUAUUGUAAUAUAACUUGGAAUUGCCUUAUAAAUUAAUACAUUGAAACUAUUUAAAUCUAACUAAGGUUAAGGUGGGGUGUUUUAGACAUUUUUCAUGGCCUUAACUCUUAGUAGAAGCCAGUAAAAAAAAUCUCUAGCCACUAGUGGCCAGCUAAAAAAAAUUUCUCUAGUUGUUACUCUUAGUAGUUGCCAGUAAAAAAAAAAAUUCUCGUUGGGCCAUUGAAUCUUUGAAUUAACGGUGUAAGAUUUGUUUGCUAGAACAGUGUCUAUAGUAACCGUUUGCUAUAAAUCACUACCAUAUAUAUAUAUAUAUAUAUAUAUAUAUAUAUAUAUAUAUAUAUAUAGAAAUAGAAAUAAUUUGUAUGUCGACAAAUAUCAUGACGAAAUUGAUGGCGAUUAACACGGAACUCUAAACAAUAAGAUAAUAUGGAAUAAAUUAGUUGAGUCCCUUUUUAUUUCCCUCAUAUCUCAUGUAACCACAUACGUCGGUAUUUACUAUAAAUAUAAAUUUGUCGUCAUAUAUAUAUAUAUAUAUAUAUAUGAAAUUGCAGAAAAGUCUAAAUUAUUACCAAAACUAUCAAAAUUGAGGUUCAUUCAAAAAGACAACCUAUCAAAUCACAACCCCAUUUUUCGAGGCUAAUUAUUUAGAUCAUCAUGAAAAACAAAUUGUCAAUAGUAUACUCCCUUCUACAUUCCACAAAAGGCCUUUGCAAAAUAUACAAACUUGCUAAAUUUUACCCCUAAAUUUGUUCAGUGUUUAGUUUAACAGUGACGGCAUAUGACAAUGAAAUUGUUAUGGUAAACUUGAGGACAUUGCCUCAUCUUAUGUACCAUCAAAACAAAUGGGACACUUUUUGGAACAAUUUUUUUUUGGCAAAUGAGACUGUGAACAGAGUAUUAGAGAUAUACUAUAAAAAGCAUCAAAUUCAUAUCGAAUGUAUUAAUAACAAUAACUUAAAAAAAGUUUCAAUAUACCUCCUGUUUGUCCAAAGCUGUGUGCGCCAUCAUCUUGAUCAGUACAGGCCAGCACAACAGAAGAGCACCACCCAUUAAGCAAAAAGUAAGGCGAGGAAUACUAAUACAGUGAACAAGUUGAUGAAAAGGUCAGGAUGGGUUACAAAUUGAUCAUUAAAUAGAUAAAUAAUGUUGCUUUUGAAAUGGAGGAAUGAGACUGAUUCAAGACAGGUAUGAAGGCUUGAAUAAACAGGAAAAUAACGAAAAUUAUAAGAUCCUUGUCAAGAAUGGAGGCAGGGAAAGAAGAGAUAUACCCAAACCUUACUAAAUGACUAAAAUAACCUUACUAAAUAACAAAUAACCUAAUUAAAACAUUAUGAAAAUAUGGAAAUAUAUAAAAGCUACUAUAUUGUUAGAGGCUGGGUGGCAAUCUGCCUGGAUUUUGUAUUUCCUCAAAUUAUAGAGGGAGCUGCAAUUAGAAACCUAAACACAAAUGAUUCCGAUCUUGAUUGACCUAAAGUAUUUUAAAAGUCAAAGAGUAGAUAUUGGGGUAUCAAUCAACUAAUGGUUAAAGGUAUGGACUUCAAUUUGUUGACGUACCUGGGAAGAUCUUCAGCUGAAGCAUCAGAUGAAAGGACAAGAAUCCCUGUACAGAUAAGGGUUAUACUCCAAGAAGCAAUUUUCCGUCUUCUUAGCUCAUUUUCUUCGCCUGUGAUUAAACAUUAAUAUAAAGAAUUAAAGAUAUAGUCAGUUAGCAAAUCAAUGACGAUAAGGAAUGGAUUACGUUAAUUAUUAGUGACACUUUACUUUGGGCUACUACUUUAUCAAGAAGAGGAUGUCUAAUAGAAUCUUUAGAAUGUUCCUUGCAAAUCUCCUGGGUUUCACUACUAAAUUGCAAUGAGACAGAAUUAACCGAUUCCGAAAGUGAUGAUGGCACAGACGCCUCGUCUGGUGGAACGUAUCUUAGUAUCAACACUGAAAUUGCAACAGCAGUGAAUCCAAGCAAUGUACCCACGCUAACCUGCAGAGGAAAAAGAGGCAUAAUCUCUGAUAAACAUUUAUCGCCGUACAAAAACAUGGUAUUCCCCUCCUCAAAAAGAAAAAACGAUUGUAAUCAUCUUAUCAUGUUAACUUACCAUCCCUGCCAAUUCCGAAACAUCCAUAAAGAAUGACAGGGCAGCAAUAAAGAUGCCAGUCAGUAUUGUGCUCUUGACUGGAACUUGGGUGUGUUUGUUGAUGUCUGAAAGGAAUGAUGGUAACAACCCAUCUCUCGCCAUUGCCAUUAGGAUACGUGGCUGAAAAACCAGGAGAAGGAAGUAGAGUAAUAAUGAGCUAAAAUUCGGUAAAUCAAUUGCUGGACAGCGGAAAGGAGGUCCACCAAUUGAUCAGGAUCCUCUAAAUUCUAAAGGAAAAAAGGAAAAGAAAAACUGAAUCCCUUGUGCUCAUUUCAAUUCAAGCCACCAAUUUUGUCAAAAGGCCUGAUUAGUUAAAACAUGUACCUUGUAAUUAGGAUUAAAUCACAAAUUGAACCCUACAGUGACCUUACCAGUAAGUUUCAGAUAACUAUUCUUCAUACAUUAACAAAUCUCUUUAGAAAACUAAAGCUAGUUUAUAAACUAAAGGUAAACAGUAAUCAUCACAUACCUGAGGAAGAAUUGAACCCAUUAAAGCUGCACACAGAGAAGUAACUGUUCCAGUUGUUAUAAUGUAUCUGCAGUUUUGGCAAAGUGAUAUCGAGUAGAAAACAAAUUUUUCUAGCUGACAAUUUCCUGAAUUAGAAAAGGACACAUAGCACUACACAAGUUCAAGAAUGACUUACACUGCCCAUUCCAUCCCAUAGCUAGCAAAAGCUGAAGAGAUUGGGGUGUCUGGAUCCAAUGCGUCAUAUGGUACUAAACCAACAACCACAGCAGAUACAAGCAUAUACAAUAUGCAACAUGUAGACACUGAAAUACCUAUACCAAGCGGCAAAUCUCGAUGAGGAUUCUUCACCUGUCAUGGUUAUAUAGAGAAGGAUGCUCAGGUUACAAUUCUGUUAGAUGAGUAAUGACGUCUCUGGAAGAUUAGGAUUUAAUGUACACCUAAUUACAAAGGGCAUGGAAGGCUAAGGAUAAGAAUAUAAAGUUAUUCAAAUUUAGCCACAUUUUCAUGGUUUUUCCAUCUUAUCCCAUAUUAUCUAAUUAAGAAAAGCUAGAGAUGGUAAAACAUGUGUUUCCUUCAUUCUUUAUUAUCAACUUCUGUUUUAUUCAACUAGUACUCCUAAGGAAUCAAGUGUUUACAACUUAUACCUCCUCAGCUGUGCUGGUAACUGCAUCAAACCCAACAAAUGAAAAGAACGCUGCUGCAGAGCCAGAAAGUAUCCCAUGUACGCCAAACGGAAAAUACCUAUAGAAUUGCAAGGAUACAUUAGAUUGACUACUAAUUUCAGUUACCACUUAAGAUCAUGGGAUUACUCAUUACCCGUUAGGACGUUGAUAACCUAUCCAUCCACUCGUGCAACCUACAAAUCCACCAGCUAUAAGGAUGAAAACCAAGGCAACAACGUUUAAAGUUGUAACAGUGGCUUGUGCCAGAGAACUCUGCACGAUUAGUGCUUAACAAAGAAAUCAGGAAUUAUAGCCUAAGCAAAGAGAUAUUAUUCUAAUGAUAAUUCAAAGAUUUGCAGGAGAUGGCAAAUUGUACCUCCUUGAUUCCAGUGCACAAAAGUCCAGUUACAAAUAAAACCAGAAUUGCUGCACAUGGGUCUACUACAGUACCAAGAAUGGUAAGGCGGCCUAAGAAAGCAGGCAGCUUAUCCACACCUCCAAAAAAUAAGGCCUGUAUGUAAUAUAAUACACAGAAAAAACGAUAUUUAAACGUUGAGAAUUCUAUUAGCUCACACAAUGCAUAAUGGUGUAAAUGGAAAGUUUAAUUAAUUGAAGGUCCUUUCAAACGAUGUGCAAUCUUCAAAGCAAAUAAGUAAAGAUCUCUUUCAACCGUUUCAACAGUAUAAAAUAUGCACUUUCUGGUGCGACAGUGUGUGUUUCAGAACUACCAAUUACAAUGACCAUCAGUGAAACUAUGAAAAUUCACUUCCACAUUAGAAUAAAAUUUGGAAAUGGUGUUUAAUUACCAAAUCUAGUACUAGUUGUUGACCUAAAAAGCCCAAAUCCUAGAUUUUGAUGAUAACAAACAUAAAAUGUUGAGCUAAUUGGUGUAUUGACGUUGUGUUACAGGUUACAAGAUUAAAUGGCACCUUAAAUGUCUUUAAAGCCAUGUAUUUGACCCCUUCAAAUAUGAAAAUGCAAGAUCAUGCAUGGUAUAGGCUUAAAGUUUUUAAAACAAUAAAUUUGUUUAAGAAGGUUUUAUAGUCAUUUAGUAUGGAUCCCAGGAACCUUUUGAAUCCUAGUUUUGAUUUCCUUUGACAUGGUUUCAUGUUCAAACUUUAAAUAGUUUAAAGUGAUCAAAACUUAAUGAUUGUAUCGACACGUGUAGGAAAAGCCUUUUUCACUAGAAAAUUUUGAAUUGAAGCACUUUGUGUCAACACAACUCCUGCAAAAUUGAAUUUCCAUUAUAAAAGAUAUUGUACAAGACAAAGAUUGUAACACCCUAGUCCCACAUCGAAAGAUAGGGGAAAAAUUUGUCUGCAUAUAAGGAAAUAAAUUACUACCAAUAGUACGUUCAAGUCAUGACCUUUUGGGUGAGCAUGUGAUGGGCUAAGACCCAAGAAGAUAUUAUUGGGUCAGUGAUUUGAGGCCUUAUUUUGAUGGAUUUGAUUCGAUUCGAACUUGGAAUUUGACCCGAGAUUUGUUCUAAACCCGGGUUGUUUCAUAUGGUAUCAGAGCCGACUCUCGAAAGCUCGGGUCAGGUCAUCCAAUCGGGUUGCCGAAGGCGGGGACACGAAGGCUGGUGGUAUUAUCCCACAAUGGAGAGAUGGAGGUCCGGAGGUGGGGACACGAAGUCAGCCGGUAUUAUCCCACAAUGGAGAGAUGGAGGUCCGGAGGUGGGGACACGAAGUCAGCCGGUAUUAUCCCACAAUGGCUAGAGAGGCAAAGAUCUGUGGACCGUGAACCACGUGCGUGAUCGGUUCUGACGGGGACGUCAAAAAUUUAAGUGGGGGAGUUUGUAAUACCCCAGUCUGACAUCGAAAGAUAAGGAAAAAAUUUGUCUGCAUAUUAGGAAACAAGUUACUACCAAUAGUACCUUCAAGUCGUGACCUUUUGGGUGAGUCUGUGGUGGGCUAAGAUGACCCAAUAAGAUACAAUUGGGCCAGUGGUUUGAGACCUUAUUUUGAUGGAUUUGAUUCGAUUCGAACUUAGAAUUUGAUCCGAGAUUUGUUUCGGACUUGGGAUUUGACCCGAGUUGUUUCAAAGAUGAUGCAUACUGGAGAAAGUACAACAUAAUAGCUAAUAAAUCGGGUGUGGUGCAAUUCUGAAGAGCAUGUAUUGUAUCACAAAAGGAAAUUAACUAUACCACAUUUGGGGAUAUUCCACGAGCAACAGCUGCGCCACCAAGUGUAUAUUCCAAUAUCAUAGCCCAACCAAUCAACCAAGCAGUACUGAAGCCAAUGAAAGUACAUUAAGUCAUUUAAAGAAGAAAAAUCAAAUCCUACAGGAGUGAGCUGAAAAUCAGUUAUGGUCUCUAUUCUCCAAAAAACAAAAUGCUAUCUAAUAUUAAAUAUGAAACAAUGGAAUCUUUGGCCUUGCCUUAAAAUAAAUUUGAUUAAGUUUGAUGGUUAUGACAUACUGAUGCUUUUAUUUUGAGAAAAUCAACAUGCUCUCAAAUAUUAACCAUGUAGCAAGGAAACUUUGGUCUAGGCUUCAAAAAAAAUGAUUACAUUAAACAGGUUGAUGGUUCUGACAUAGAGAUGAUGUUAUUCGGAGAAAACGUCAGUAUGAGCUUUAAUUUGAGGAAGACUGGAAGAUUAAGGAAAGUUGAGCUCACCCUUCUCCAACACAUAUGUAUGAAUAAUGAUAUGCACUCCCAGCUGAUGGACAGCGACAAGCCAACUCCGCAUAACAAAAUGCUGAAAAUCCAGCUGCAAAUCCAGCUAUUAGAAAAGCAAUAGGGAGAGCAGGUCCGGUGUGCUCUCUUGCAACUGUUCCAACAAGAAUGUAGACUCCAGCUCCAAUGGUCGAUCCAACUCCUGAUUCAGUAAAGCUUAAGUUCAACAAUAUAGAUAUAAUCAAAGAGAUCCUCGAAGGAUUCACCUCUAUGAAUAAACUUAUGCCCCUAAAGUUUCUGGUUUUAUUACUCUAUUCUAUACCCCAUCAAAAAAAAGGACAAAAGGAAAUACUAACUAAAAGAAAAGUAAUUCCUGGAACUUUAAUUGCCAAGCUACUGAAAAUUUCAUGUUAAUGACAGUGGGAGGAACUGAUUUUUAUUUUUUUGGGUAAAUGUAGCCAGGAUAGCCACCUCCUGCAAAACUUGCCAUAAUACCACACUGCCACUCCUUACCGUGUUCCACAAUAAAUUCACCACGGAGAAUUAGGAUAACACGAAAAAGGAUAGGAAAGGGUUUCAAAAUAGGAAGACCUACAGGGAGUUUCAAAGUUAUCAAUGAACUUUCCGACGAUCAGAAAUCGAACAAGCUACUGGCAAAGGUUUUUCUGAGGAUUUUUCAGAGUUUGGUAAGUCGAUUGGUUUUUCGAUUACAACUAAAGAGCAGGAAAAAUUCAUAGAUUUCAAUAACAGGGGUUCUCGUGAUUGUCUGUCUUUUGUUUAAUUUCAAAUUACUAAAGGACUUGGGUUAGAUUACAAGGACAUCAUGGAGUAAUAGAAUACACUCCAAAAAUUUAUGUUCAACAACCAUUUUAGCAUAAGAUGUCAUAACAAAGAAAUUGGUACAUUCAUAAAAAAUCUCCCCGGUAUAAUUUAAUGUAAUGACUAAUGCUAUUGACACAAAUCAUGAAAAAACUGGGAGCGGGACCUACCAUUACAAAUCUUAAUUAUUAUGCACAUGGGUCUUAUUUUGUGUAUAGUUCUAAUGUAAUUAUUGUCUUAAUUGGGUAGCCCUAUGUCAGCAAUCAUAAUUAAUGUAUCUAUAUAUCCACACAAGUCGCAAACAUAAUAACCAAACAAAAAGUUAUCACCUUAGUGUAUUCAGCUAGAUUUCCAACAUACAUAAACAAAGACCCUCCAGCCAAUUACUACAGAAACUCCGACCAAAGAAAGGGUAAAAGAUGAAGAAGAUAAAGAAUUACCGAUAGCAAUGAGGUCAAAAGCAGAAAGUCUCUUUGCAAGUUGCUGACCCUUGCCCUUUGCCUGAGCUGAAUCAACUUUCUUUCUCCUAAUCAAACAUCCAAAUCCAGAGUAAUAUUGCGAAACACCACCACCCUUUUUCAUAUCAACAACACAAACAGCAACACCCACAGAAUUUACCGGUGGGAAAAAAAUACUUAAAUCUUGAAUUUUCGAUCGAAAUAAGAGAUAUUUAUCAGCGCAAAACUCCCUUGCCGUAUAAUUUUCGGGAAAAUUUAUGAAAAGAAUGAAAUGGGUAGAGAGAUUAAUUGAAGUAUACCAAGCACCCACGUUAGAGGGAUCUUCGAUUAUCUGAUUCAGAGCAAAGACGACAAUCUAUGAUCAAAUUUUUAUCCGGUAUAUACGAGUUUGACAAGAGUUUUCAUUUCUAUAUUAAGAUUCUCGAAAGUCUCAAAAUUCGGCAAUCCAAAUAAAACAGAUGACUAUUUUUUCAUAGAAAUUCCUAACCCCCUCUAACAUUGAUGAGACCACCAAAACGAAGUCAAAUUCAAAUAGAAGCGUGCUGGCCUUGCCGCAUCAUUGAUGGGAGAGUGGAAAACCUUAUCCAGAACAUGUCUACGUUCAUUGAACUUCAAAUUCUUUUGGUUUGGGGCAAGCAAAUUGAGGAAUUUGUUUUAUUAUAUUUUUUGGGUUUUCUUUGAAUGUUGAUCAAAUCUCAAUUUUGUAAUAAUAAUAUCAACGGAAUUUAAGGUUAAGGGUACAAAUGAAUCGAGUCAUCCGAGUAUUGAGUUGUAUAAUCCGAGUAUCAAUAGAAAAUUAUAAUUUGAGAAAGUUCAAAUAAUUUAUCGAACUUUAAAAUAUGCUCAUAUUUGACUCAUUUAUAUUUCGAGUCGAGCUCGAAUCGAAUUUUUAGUUGAACGAGUAUAAAUCGAGCUCGAACUGUUUGCUCAUUUUAGAGCCUUAUUUAAGGUAUUUGAGAUCCAUUUGUUUUUUUAUGCCAGACAAAUCUUUUAAAAAUAUCAUUUUUACUCAUAAAAAUAUAAUCUCCUGUUUAAAAAAAGAAAAACUAAAAACUAAAAUAUUCAUUUUUUAAUACAAACACUUAAUAAUUUUUUUAUAACAAAUAUAUCGAGCAUGAAUGGAAUGGGAGAUGCAUAUCACAUACUAACAUGGUCUACUGAUGAUUUUAAUUACAAAUUAGCAGAGCCUCGACGUGACAGUUGCUCAAACAAGCAACAUGACGUUUACAGAAAAUUAACAGAAACUACUCUGAAGAUUAAAUUGAACCUCCCUCUAUCUCUACUUCAUUUGGCGUCAUACAGUUUAACAUCAAUUAGUACAGAACAUUGAUUUCAUGUGCUACACACACUUAACUAAAGUUGUCUAUUUCCCCCGCUGCCAUCUGAAAAACCCAAGCCCAUUGCUACUCUCUACAGCAAUAUCAUCUGUAGAAUCUGACCCACUACCAAUUGUUUCAUCCGAGCUUUCAUCAGGAAGAACUUUUACUCUGUCGGCAUUCUUGACAAUCCAAUCAGUGAAUUCAGGAGAGGAAGCCCAUUCAGCCAGAGCCUGCCGUGUAGAUUCCCCUGUGAAAUCUUCCCAUUGUUUCUUCGAGAACCUCUUUCUGUUUGGUGUCUUGUGAAAGGUUGAAUAGAAAUCCUGCGGCCUUCUUGUCCCUAUAGAUGGCGGGGAUACCAAACCUGAAACAAUAAAAACGGACAACUCACAAACCAUACUUGUAUGCAUAUGCUUUGGGUAAAAUAUCAACAAAUUUAUGAAACUUUUUAAAGCAGUUGCAUCAGUGAUCAUCCAAGGACAGUGUUUUUCCCCAAAGAACAAUGAUGGAAGUACAAUAUUUCUUAGUACUUGUGUUGGUUCAACUUUAUGCCAAUUAAAGCUAAUUUCUUGCUCAAAAUCUGAUAAUAGCCUUUAAUAUGGUAAAGAACGGAAGAUUGGUGAUUACUGAUUACUCAAGCAUGAGACCCUUUAAACUGACAAUGCUAGUUUCUUUUGAUACCUUAGGUUAUAAGUAUCAUUUGUUUCUUCAACACUUCAUGAAAUCAUUGUAACCAGUAUUAGCAACUCUACUAAGAGUAUAAAUCUCUUCUAAUUUCUGUUUUGUAGACAAGACUACGAAUAUGCAAUCUUAGAUAAAUACUACUACUUUUUUUAUUAAAAAAAAAAGAAUUCUUCAAAAAGUAGUCAUUUAUACUUCUUCAAAUAAUCCUAAAUGUUCGCCAAAAACUUCUUGAAACCAUAAAACAAGUAGAAAACCACAGAUAUCAUACAUACAUACAUAUAUAUAAAUAUAUAUAUAUAUAUAUGUG